CGGAUGGUGGCUCUCUUUUUGGGCACCUUUGUUUCCCAAGUUGUACCGAAGGUUUCUCGUCACCACGAGAGAAGCCAGUGAUGGGAACUACUACUUACUAGUACUACAUAGGAAGGGUGCGCGUAGGAGAUGAAUUGUCAGAUAUCAUGCUCAGAUUUUGGCAAGACGUUUGCAUCACUGCACACACGUCGGAGGCGGCUGUUAGCCUGCACUGUUUCUUUUUUUUUCUUUGACUCAACUUGGGCGUGUUUGGGACUGUUUCGCUUCACCAAAAUCAGUUUCGCUCCAUUAAAUUCACUUUAGAGCAGUUUCAUCCAAAAGUUGUAGCACUAUCAAAGAGAAUGUUUGGCUUUCAUCUAGCUCCAGCUUCAAGAAUGAGAAAUUUGAUGAAAAGGAUAUAUUUGAUUGGUCGAGGGGGGAGAAACGAAGAGGUAUCCACUUACUGGUGGCAGUGGUGGGUAAUUUCCACCCAAAUCCAGUUUUUAGAGUUUUUUGGAGCACCCCUUGAAGAGUUUUAUAAAAAAAUUGGGAGUUGUGUUCUAGAUUCUAGUUUUUUGUAAAGCGGCAUAUUGUGGAGCUAUCUCGUUUAGUUUAUAUUUUCUAGAGUGGAGCUGAAUUUUAAGGAGCAGCAGUGCCAAACAGACUCUUAGACAGGCUGAGGUAGGUAGAAAACCAUGUUGAGCACAUAGUUUGGUAGCUUACAUCCAUCUGCAUGGAAGCACCAAUCCCUUCUGCCUCACGCAUUUGGUUGCGUGCAUAUGGCUCUUCUGAUGCACACUAUGCUACAUGUUUGGUUUCACACAUUUGGCUGUGUAUACUGUUAGCAUCUACUCCCUCCAUUCUAAAAUAGAUGACUCAACUUUAUACUAAUUUUAUCGUCCCUCUUCCUCUUCACCUACCACCCUAACCAUUGCUCAUUGCAUUUUAUAUAUGACCACAAUGAUUACGCCAAUAAACCAACACUACAAUCAGGACGAAUUGAACGAUGAUGAUGUCUUCAUCUCACACAGCCCAAACUGACCAGGAGAGCAUAAAGUUGGACUGGCAUCAUCUGCCUUUCGCCUGGUCAUAAAACUUUCGAAGCAGUUGUCUUUGUAAUAGGUCAUUUGUUCAUGUCAUGUGUGCCAUGAUCCAUGAACUGUAAUCUCUUGAACCCUCCCUACGUAUACCACGUAUCACUUCACCUAGCAUGAUAAAAAACAAUUAAGCAACAAGCAAAUGAACACAACAUAUGAAACAUAAACAACAUAGGCAUGCAUAAUCUUAUAUCUCGAAAGGCAGAACAAGUUCGUCCUAACUACUAUGAUGUCAUCCUACUACCAUAUUUAAAAGAUGGUGUAAUCCUAUCAGUUCACCAUCGACACAAAGAGAUUAGUAUAUACCACCUCAUCAAAAUAUAUAGGCCAACAACAGUUUUUACCAUAAAAUGUACAACGUCAUCGUCGGCGUCGCCUGUCAUCAUCAUGCACGUCAUCAGCACCAUCAUAAGCACAGUAGUAGUAGUGCUAGCCCAACAAUAUCCUAAGAUAGAGCACCUUAUGACCCCCCCCCCAUGCCAACGAACCCAGGCCCCUGUGCCAUGAUGUUUAGUAGGUGGCUAACAACCGCCAUCAGAGCCUCCUGACCGAAGCCACCCAUCUCCAUGACGGAACUGUAGAGGGAAGGGUGAGCGUCGACGGUCUUGCUCUCCGUGAUGGCAGUUGCCACUUCCUUGACAGCCUCAGUCAUGCUGCUAAAGACGCUCAACUCCUCAUCCAUCAAGCUGCCCCUCUUCCUCUUCCUCUUCCUCCCAAGAACAAGAACAUGGUCAACAGCCUUCUCAUGACCAUCAAGGAAUGUUGGUCUCGAACUCCUGGGUAUUUGGAUACUCAGGCAUAGGCAUAGGCGAACUGAGAUGCUCGCCGGAGCCCAUGGCAUGCUUGCCGGUAGCCAGCCGAGAAGAUCUACCGCAUCUCUAAGUAGUUCCGUAUGAAAAUGUUGAGGAACUUAGCAUCCUUGAGGUGGACCUAACGAAGAAACACAAUGUUGUUAGUUGUGUUUGGCAUGUUAGAGAAACUAAACAAGUUCAACCAGUGCUAUGUGAGCUAAUCAUAGUGUAGCCUUUGUAGUGCUAUGUCUCCAACAGGAUCAUGAAGGUGCCAGAGAAGAGCAUGAAGACAAAUCGCCGUCGCCUUCUAUAACCGACCAGAGAAGAUGCUCUGCUUACCUUCUCGUCGGUGAAGAAUCCAAAUUCGACNNNNNNNNNNNNNNNNNNNNNNNNNNNNNNNNNNNNNNNNNNNNNNNNNNNNNNNNNNNNNNNNNNNNNNNNNNNNNNNNNNNNNNNNNNNNNNNNNNNNNNNNNNNNNNNNNNNNNNNNNNNNNNNNNNNNNNNNNNNNNNNNNNNNNNNNNNNNNNNNNNNNNNNNNNNNNNNNNNNNNNNNNNNNNNNNNNNNNNNNNNNNNNNNNNNNNNNNNNNNNNNNNNNNNNNNNNNNNNNNNNNNNNNNNNNNNGGGAGGUGACCCAAUUCCUCCUGCCGUUUUUUCGGGAAUGCGCACAUCGCUUGAUGCAUUGUUUCCCUCCUCUGCAUGCGCGAGCUUGAUUAAAAGAAAUUGGCUAAUUCAGUCGUUAUUAACGGGCCUAACUGAGAUGUGUUGUAAGAUUUGUGUUAUAUAGUUCGUAAAAAAAAAGAUUUGUGUUAUAUAGAUCAAACAGUAAACGCACAUUCAAACGAGCCAAAUUUGCAUUCGGUGGACGUGGUGGAGGCCUGAGGAGAAUGGAGGCUACCAAACGCCCCACAGACGUACCUCUUUGCAAUUUCAUCGUCCAGCUAUUCCCAAUUCCCCGUCCACUCCCCACGGCCCGAAAUUUCAUCUCGACGCCUUCGGCCGUCACCAUGACCGACGCCGCCGCCUCGUCUUCCCGCCGGAGGAUGGAGGCCGUCCGCCGCCAUCUCCUCCCUCGGCCUCCGCCCGUCCUUAGCCUGGUACGAGCUAUCUCUUAGAGGCCCCAGCCUGCCAUCCCACUAAGUCCCCUCCUAACUCACUCGUAUCAUGUCUUGCUUAAUCGGUCCCAUUUCGUGCUCAGAAUCAGCUAAGCGCCCCGGAGGCAGGACAGAGCCCGGUGAUCAUCGGCGGAAUGGUGCUGGACAUCCACGCGAAGCCAUCCGUGCCGUCACAUCCUGGCACCACCGUUCCUGGGAUGGUAAAUCACCAUCUUGCUUUAAAACACACUCCUCAUUUUCACCAAUUGAUAGCUUGGAUCACAUGAUAUUUUGCUGGAUUGAAUGAUGUGAGGUAUAAGCGUGCGGUGCGACGUUUGGAUCAGCCAUGACCAGUAGCCUAAUUCUGUCAAAGUAGGCUUUGCUAGGAUAUAUCCCUUCACAUAUUCUUACUAUGGGCUUGAGUUUUCAAGGAUCCAUCGCAAAAGUCUCUACUUUCACACUUUUAGUCUGGUCGUUGUGCUAACCGUAAACUUGGCAAACCUCAAGAUUCCUCGUCUGACCAGGCAAAACAAUUUUUGGUUUCGAAAAAUAUUUUGCCCCCACCGAAGACAAUGCUUUUCCACAGAUUUCUUAACCUUAGAUUUUCAAAUUAGAGUGAUUUUAUUAGCUAAAAUUAACCCUUUUCUUGUGACCAACCGAACUGGUUGAUUUCGUGAUUUUUGGCCGAACUUCUGCCAAUCAUGAGGUAUCGGCAUCUGCAGAUAAUUUUACCCCAACUUAGUCCAUAAAAACUACAAGUUUUGUCAUAUUUAAUCUCUUACUAGUUACUAGUAAAAGACUUCAUCCUUGUUAUUAUGUAUGUGUAAUUAUUUUGAACGCCUAUCUAUUUUGGUUGAUAUUAUAUGCAUGUUAUUCAUCCUUAGGUCGAGGCAUAUAGCUUGCGUGCUUUCAUUAUUUCUGUCAUAUAACAAGAAAAGUUUGAAUCGAAUACCAUUUGAUGAAGUAUUUGAACUUCAUAGGUUAAGUACAUCGGUGGGGGAGUAGCUAGAAAUAUUGCUGAGUGCAUGGCUAAGCUUGGGACUCAACCACUCAUGAUUAGUGUCAUUGGAGAUGAUAUGGCAGGUAUAACGUACUUAUGUUGACGUAGUUUUUCUAAUUACUAAAUGUACUCAUGUCAGAAUACUCUUCACUUUUCCUGUCUUGAGCUAAAAUUUGAUCCAAUACUUUUUGUUAAUUCUGCUAAAGGGGAUUUUCUAUUGAAGUACUGGAGGUUGGCUGGACUAUGUACAGAUGGUAAGUGUGAAGUUAUCUAUCUUUCCGUACUGAUCGUGAUAUCACAUCAUAUAUUUGUAUGCAUUUUCGGGGUUGUGGUAAACCCAGUUGCAAUAUUUAUUUUGUAUGUUGCUAAUAUGUUGAAUAUUUUCCCUUUACAAUUAGUUCCUGGUUCUCCACUGGCUUAAUGUUGUUUGGCAAUUUGCUCUGUGCUUAUUUGUGAUGCAAUGGUACAGGCCUACAGUUUUGUACAACAAACCAAAAUUAAAACGCUAACUGUAGUGGGACUAGAAAAGCACCCCCGCCCCACCGCGGUUAUCAAAUAGCUCACAACCACCCUAUGCCAAAUUCAGUGUUAGUCGUGUUGUGGGGCCGAGGUUAUGGUUUAGAAGGGGAUAAAUAGACCUUACAAAAUCUACGUCCAAUUUAAGCGAUCAAGUAGCCUACACAACAAGUCUACAACAAGAUAAGAGUGUGGAAGCGAAAAUUGCAAGUAACUAGGAGUAAGGGAAUAUUGCAAACACAUCAAACACAACGAUGGUUUCUUGAGGUUCAGAUUGUUGAUGCAAUCCUACUCCUCGUUGGUUAAGGUUCAAACACAAAUUUGCAAGCCACACCAAGGCCUCGGCAAGGUCGACCACUAAGGUCCCACGAAGCCUCUUGCCCACCUAUGUCACCAUGGCUUGAUACUACGAAGGUCAAAGCCUAACCCGGGGUUGAUCUUCACGGAGAAGGCAAUCACUAGGCCUUCUACAAACUCUUGAUUCCUUCACACCUUGAAGGCUAUCAAGUGACUCCUAAUCGUCUCGGAGGCGCACACCCUCCAAGAGUAACAAGAAAAGGACAGUCACUUGGAUGAACUCAAAAGAUCUUCAAUCAACUCUCUCAAGAAUCCAUAGGGUCUCUCUCACUAAGAAUCAAAUGAUGGAGCAAAGAGAGAUAGAACACUAAGCGGUCCAAGAGGUGGUGGAGUUCUGCUUUCAAACCCUCUGAAAAAUGGCUCAAAAAAUGCUUGCCCACUCAGUGGUGUGGGGGUCUAUAUUACCCCCCCCCCCCUGGUUUUAACCACAAGGCCACUAUCAAAAUUGCAAUUUGCAUGUAUACAAUACCACUAUCUCUUUCCGAGAAGAAUUUAUUUGAUUUUUGCCUCGUAUGAUGGUGCUUACUAAUGCAAAAGUUGCAUGCAGCCAUAGAGAAAGAGGCACCACAUGCACAUGUUUAAUUAGCCCAGAACACGAGAGGUUUUCCACACAGUUAAUCCUGCUAUUUAUUAGUUUGUUUUCUUGGUAUCUGAAAAAUGAGGUAAUGGCCUUGUAUACAAAAAUGGAGGGAGUAUAGAAAAAAACAGAAAUCUGACCGUUGCACAAUAGCUUACAACUUGCUCAGUAGUACCGAACAGAAAACCUGGCAGUAGGUGGCUGGCACUUGGAAGUGCUGGCUGUCGAGUAACCCUCUUGAAAAUCCAAAUACCCGGGGGUACCGAAUGCAAAAGACACAGGUACUGGACAAUGGAGUAGUUCAUUUCUGCAUGAAGGAUCAACUUGCUCAGAGGUACGGAAGUGAUAAUUCUCGGAAGUGUCGGGGUCAAUAGAGGAACCCUGGAAUGGAAGGGUGCAGAAACGGCCAAGUCUCAGCUUGGAGAUGCCAGAAAGAUUUGGCUUGGAAAUACCGGACCUAUACCGAGACGCUGUGCCGAAGCAAAUGAGAGGUGCUCGUAAUUGCUAGACAAGGUUAAGCUCAGAGAUACCAGAGCUAACAGAGAUACACUUGGUAGGAGAAAAGCUCAGUGGCACAGGAAAAAAAUCUCGGUUGUCCUGGGAAACACUUAGAGAACUGGGUUUGCUCAUCAGCAUCACUCACAACUCACUGGCUUGGUAGUACCAAGUAGGAAUACUCGGAGGUAUCGGGAUGUAGGAAAAUUUGAGGAAUGAAGUGUUUGGAGUGGAAAACUUGGGGAUUUGGUUGUGGAUCUUGAGAUAGGGUUCAUCCCUAGCUAUUUGCUUGCAUUCCUCUUGAUAAUACAAUUGUCCUUAAACUCAAUCUGAAUCAUGGAUCCACUAAAAAAAACUAGAAAUUACAAACCACGAGCGUAAAGAAACAACCACUUGUCAGGGCAAAAAUAGGGGUCACUGUUGAUGUUUUCACAUCAAAAUGGACCACGUCCUGAACUGAACUUGAUAAACCAAUAGUCCUCUUAAUUGCCUUGUCAUUAAUAACCAAAAAUUAAUAGGGGGACUAAAUGCACUUUCACAUGUACCCAUCUCACUACAACAUACUAUAUUGAGCAUGUAAGCAAUAUGUCAGAUAUUGUGCAAUCCAUCAAAGGGUACAAACUGGUUAGAUGCUGCAAAUUAAAAGUACAUAACAUACGAGUUACCUUCCUAUUUGUUGAUAACUGAAUGUAACACCUUUGAGGCAAAAUCUUCUAUGGGUUUUUUGUGAGCUUAAAAGAAUUUUAAAAAAUUGCACUUGGACAUAAUCAGCUAAAUAAAAUGUUUUAACUGACUAAACUAUGUGUUUGGACUACACCUAAAUGAUAAGUGAAAUGAUCUUUAGACCAGGCUGUUAACUUUGUGAUAAUUAUGUAUUGCUUACUUGGCUCUUUUGAAAAUUAUGCUGCUCUUUUCUUGGUCUCCAAUAUAUUAUUUUGACUACUCCCUCCGAUCCAUAUUUUUAUGCUCCUUUAGUACAAAGUUGUACUAAAGGAGCGUCAAUUAAUAUGGAUCAGAGGGAGUAAUUUUUUAGGGGAAUUUUAUGUGUAUAAUUGAAUAAAAUUAUAAUGUUGUGAAACUUCUGUCCACAACAAAUUUAGUAUUGUGACCUUUGUAUAUCCGGUAUAAAUAUGUAGAUAGUAAGCUAGCGAUGGUCAAAUUGUAAAAAGAUACAACACGGAUUCUGGAGCAUCCUUUCUGAAACAGCGCAGGGAGUAAAAUAAUGUUUUGUUGAGAAAGCUCAGGAUGGGCCCUAAUGUUAAAUGAAGAGAUCACUCUGUUAAAUAAUUGCCUCAAUCAAGCGAUAAUAAAUUAACUAAUUGGCUAAGAUUAAGCCUUUCGAAGAUCUCAUUGUAGUUUCUAAGACAAGACCUUCAAUUCUCUUGCAGCAACUUGAGGGUCUCAAUUUUUCUUGUGUGACAUCUUCUUUAUAGAAACAUCCUUAAUUUAUUAUUUCACUGUGAAUGCUGUUCAUGAAUUGUCAAGGUUUUUUUCAUUUUAUUUUUGCCCCUUUAAAUGAUCUUUAGUUAUUUUCUAUUAGCUAACAUUAUCUCACAGCACUUAAGUAGGAAUACUGCAGGUUCCUGAUGUUACAACCCCAGUAGUGUCAAAUGUAUUUGAUGGGAAUGGAGAAUUAUUUGCUGGUGUUGCGAGUGUGCAAGCAGUUGUAAGAAUUAUUCAACGAAAUGUGUACUGUUUCCUUACAUUGAACAUUAGUGUUUGGCUGUUUGCUAAUUACCACUAUAUUUAUCUCUGUUUUCUUGGGGCAGGAAACUUUUCUUACCCCUACCUGGAUAUAUCAGUUCUACCGCCGCAUCUCCAUUGCACCUCUACUAAUGCUUGAUGCCAAUUUAUCUCCUGAGUCACUUCAAGCCGCUUGCAAAAGUAAGUUGUUAUAUCUCUUUAUUAUCUUCUGGAGGCGAUAACUUAUUUAGUUUUUGUAUGCAUGUGUAUGUUGGAUACUGGAUAGAGUAAAUUUUAUUUACCAUAACAAGUGGCAGUUUUGAGACCAAGAAUAAUGGUUACCAGUGGUAACCUAAGAUUGUCAGAAGUUUGUGGAGGAUUUUUCAAACUAAAUUUGCACUUAUUCGAUGUAUUGAAGCUAACUGAUAUUUUCUUCCAAAAUUCAAAUUCGAAACCUAAUUGAUAAAUUCAGGGCCAAACGGGGUCGUCGGCAACUGAAAUCUUGGUCUUUAGUACUUUCUCCAUUUCAAAUUACAGGUCGUAUAGUUUCCAGCUGCAUUUUUUGUAAGCCACCAGAAUGUUUUGGUUACUCAUUCUGCCCUCUAAUGCAUUUCCCCCUCAUGGUGUACCAUGAAGUGACCCAACUUCCAAUGAGCUUAAGUAUCUCUCUGCAUUGCAUGCCUUCAAGUCUCUACAUGCCCGAGCUCUAUUCCUGCAUGUACUUUUACUUGAAGGGUGUCCUUUUUAUCCUCCGGUCUAGUUACUUUAAAUGCUUCUUAAUCUGUGUGCUCAAACAAAAUGUGAUCUGUAAUCUAAUGUGGAGGGAGUGUUUUCUUAUAUAAAGGCAUUGUUGUUGCACUACAUUACCUUUUAGUAUACUUGUGAACUCCUAUCUACCAUAUUUUUUGAGGAGCUUCCCCCAAAAAGUUCAACUUGAAUGUCCCAAUUAUUACCGGUGUUAUGUUUUUCAUAUCGUAUUUUUUGGAGUAGGGUCAAAAGUUAGUGAUAAACACUAUAUUGUGUUAUUUGUUUCAGUAGCAUAUGAAUCAGGGGUGCCUGUGUUAUUUGAGCCUGUCUCGGUGGUAAAAAGUUCAAGAAUCGCACCAAUUGCGGAACAUGUGAGUGCAAAUGAUUGAGUAAGCAUUUUUUAGUAUGUAUAUGGGAAGAAUUACCCCCUUGGCUGAUUCGAGAAAGCACCCCCUUGAUUCCAAAACUGUUUACUUUGCACCCUCCAACCAUUAGAACAAGUGCAGAUCGGCAUGACUGUUCAAAUUUCAUGGGUAAGAAAUGUGUGUAUAGAUGAGUCUUAGAGGCAAACCACAAAUACCCUUAGAGAGGAGAGAGAGUAUCGUUUUGAACUAGUAGGGGCACAUGUAGAAAGCGAACAAAGGUGGAGAGAAGGUGAUUUGGGACCGUGGUGUGUUGAUAUCUAGAUGGCAAAAUUCGGUAAUGUGGCUGUCUACUCAGAAAAAAAAACAGUGAUGUGGCUGUCUACUCAGAAAAAAAGUCAGUGAUGUUGUUUCCAACGCGGCGGCAGUCGCUGAUGUUCAACCAACCAACCCAAGUUUUGGUUUUGCACCAGUUCUGGUAGUUGGAUGGUUUUGUAGUUGAAGUAGUUUUAGGCAGUCCGGGCAAGAGUUACGCGGUAAAUGCACUUCUCUUCCCAUUAUAUUUGAAGUUUACUUAUUGAUUUUCUAUGAUGAUUCAGAUAACUUGCACUUCCCCGAAUGAGAUUGAGCUUAUUGCCAUGGCAAACGCACUGUCUACUCCAGGGAAAUACAACUUCGUCAAACUUGAGCAGUGCAGCAACAAAGCAGAAUCUGUAGAUUAUUUGUUUGAAAUGCUCAGCCCAGCAAUGUUUUUUCUUCUCGAAAAGGGCAUCAAGCUUCUCCUGGUGACACUUGGCUCGAAUGGUGUUUUCAUAUGUUGCAGAGAGCACGUCAACUUCAUGAAGGAUCCGAAAAGGUGUAAAGUGACACCUUUCUCAACUCAGCUACUUGAAAAAUUGGAGGGAUGUUCUCUAUCCAGCAUGCCUGUUAAUUUGUCUAGAGAAGGUUCUUCCAGAACUUGUGUUUUCCAUUUACCUGCAACAUCUGCCUCAGUGGUCAGCCUCACAGGCGCGGGUGAUUGUUUGGUUGGUGGGUUUCUUUCAUCUCUAUGUGGGGGAUUGGAUAUUAUGCAAAGUGUUGCAGUUGGGAUUGCUGUAGCAAAGGCGUCCGUUGAAUCUGAAGCUAACAUACCUGCCAAUUUUUCUGCUGCAAGCAUCGCAGGUCCUUCACAUGAAUCUUUAUCAGUUUCUCUGUUUUGUGGGAUUUGUUAUUGAUUUGUUGAUAUUUUGUUGCAUAAGUAACUACCCCCUCCGUUCUUAAAUAUAAGCCUUUUUAGAGAUUCCAAUACAGACUACAUACGGAGCAAAACGAGUGAAUCUACACUUUAAAAUACGUCUAUAUACAUCCAUAUGUAGUCCGUAUUGAAAUCUUUAAAAAGGCUUAUAUUUAGAAACGGAGGGAUUAGCAUAUUUCUUGUGUCCAAACCCCCUGUAAUGUCAAAAGUGUAAACAUCCACUUAGAGCUUGAAAUUCAACACCUGUCCUGUGUAUUGCCUUCUUGGAGGAUGUUUUAUGCUCUCUGUUUUAUCUUCUCUCCAUUUUCGAUUGCAGCGAAACUAAUUACCGUUUCUUGUAUGCAGAUGAGGCAAGAAGGACGCUGCUAUCAGCUAGACAGAUAUGGUGCCAAUAAAUAGAGGACCACUGCAAACAUUUUGGUGUUAUUUUCAUUCGAGUUAGGAGAGAGAAUUUGUCAUGUGACAGUUCAUUUUUCUUCUUUUGAAUGGUUGGAUGUGCCUUCGAGUGCAUAGCAGCGCCAUAAAUGUGCCUGCCAAAAAGAUGUGUUGUAACUAAUGAUUAUUUGUUGAGCCUGUAGGUCAGGCGCCUGAAAAUUAUUUCCAGUUUCUGUCGGUUUGCUCUUUUGCUCUCUCCCCCUCUUCCAACCAUUGGAUUGUUGUUCUUCUUCAUCCUCCCAAUGCUGCACUGUUAGUCCCCCUCAUGCUGCCCCCGUGCCUGAGCUACUCCCUCCGGUGGGUUUAUAAGUCGGGCACAGUUUUUCAGGUCUUUGGUUUAAUGGGAAACAUGUAUUAUAUUUCAUAAAAAUGUAUCUUUAGAUUCGUUGUCAAAUGUAGUUUCUAACCACAUAGUGUCUUGUGGCAUGUUAUACAUAUUUCAUUAAUCAAAUCGAAGACAUAAAAACCCAUGCCCGACUUAUAAACCCAAUAACCCAAUCGGAGGGAGUAGUCAAGAUUCUUCCUAGCAGUCAAGAUUCUUCCUCCGGCGGCGAGCCACGUUGUCUUCGCCCUUGUGAGGUCCUGGCAAUUUGUAUGGUUUUAGAGUUUAGGAAUGGACCGUAUUUUAUGAUUGUUAAUUUGAAAUGUUACAACCUUCGUUCACAAAUAUAACAUGUUUUGGAUUUUUUAGUAUGAAUUACAUACGGACAAAAGUGAGUGAACAAACACACUAAAAUCUCUCUAUAUGUAUCCUAUUAAAAGAAAAGUUAAAACAUCUUAUAUUUGUGAGCGGAGGGAGUAUGAUGCAAUGUUUGAUCAUGAUCUUUUGUGGGGUUCGAUGGGCGCAGUUUUGAGAAACUUACGCAUUUAUAGGGAGUGGAGACUUGAAAAUUGAUAUGUGCGUUGAUGCUUCAUGAGCACAAGCGCAAGCACUAGCCAUUAAAUUUAGGCUCGAGUUUGUUGGAAUUAUAUGUCCUGCAAAUUCAAACCGCUUGGAAUUAUUAAUAUUUGGAGUACCACAUUAUGGAAUUAAAUAUGUAUUUGCACAUUGAAUUACUUUAUAUGUUUAGCAUGGAAUUAGUACUUGCUGGCAGUGGCGAAUCUAGAAAAAAUCGAAGGGGGGUUGGGCUACCUGGGAUCAUGCAAACAUGUGUUGGGCUUGGCUAGCAAGUGACUGGACUGGACCCCCCCCCCCUUAAGAUUCGCCACUGCUUGUUGGAACGUAAGUAUAAUGUGCCUAAGGAAGUUGGUUCAUUAUCCGUGGGAUACAAUAUACUAUGUACUGUAUAUUGGAAAGAUUACAUUAGACGGAGCUAGAUCAUAUAGUUAGACUACAUCCCUAAUGUUGAUCUACAUAAUUAGAGAAAUUUGCACUCUGGCAUAUUGCUCACAAGUGCCUGCUCUAGGGACUCGGCAGACAGAAUCCGUUAACAGACAAAUUGUAACAGGGUUGGUAGUUUGAUGUGAACUCUAUCCAAAAAAAGGUUUAAAAGACUACGAAUCUUAUCUAUAUAAGAGGUGGACUCUUUAGAAAGACAGUAUAAGAAGGCCGAGAGAUGCGAAUUGUGAGCGGUACCAUACAAAAGCACAGAGGAAUAGGGGGUGGACCACAAACCAUAUUUUUUUUACCAUAAACCGUAAUCUCGGAGAUGCGAAUUGUGAUCCAUGGGCAUAGACAUUUUGCUUGAAAGUCAUGGAUCUUCAUAUGAGAUAGGCCAUUUGGUGAAGUUUUUUUAGUUUGUCAUAUUGCAAGUUUACAUUUUUUCCAACAAACUAGUGCAUAUAUAAGGGCUCCAUGCAAAAGGAUUUCAAUUUUUGAGGUAUUUUUUAUUUUCUUUAAUUUUCCAAAUUAUGGUCAAACUUACAAGGAUGACCAUUCAUACCAAGAGGUUGGUAAUUUCACCUUUGUUUGUGGCUACUACAUACAAUCCUAAUGUGCAAGCUUGAAAUUAGUUUCCCCAAUUUUUAUGACCAAAAUAGAGCACACUUGUAGUUCAAAUUUGAAUUACUUGAUGUAAAUCUCUAGAAAUUCAUUAAAUAAAUGAAAUAUAGCAAAAACACUCUAAAAGUCUUGAAAUUUUGGUAGUUGGAAUCCCAUGUGAUCUACUUCGGGAGAAAAUGGAAAGGGCACAAUUUACAAUCUUAUUUCUGCUACUUCUUUCACAAAGAAAUCACUUUGCGCACUUUGAAAAUGGAAAAAAUAGCCAAAACUUGAAACUUCCUUUGGAAUUACUGUUUAGAAUGUUAAGACCCUUAUUUGUGCCAAACAUGGUCAUGUUAUCAUGGACUAUGAGAUGAUAAUGCCCAUGGGAAUGGUCAUUUUGCUUGAAAGCCAUGGAUCUUCAUAUGAGAUAGGUCAAUUUGUGAAGUUCUUUUUAGUUCGUGAUAUCGCAAUUUUAUGAUUUUUCCCACAAAAUAGUGCACAUAUAAGGGCUCCAUGCAAAAGGAUUUCAAUUAUUUAGUUUUUUCCAUUUUCCUUAAUUGUGGCCAAACUUACAAGGAUGACCAUUCAUAUAUGGAGGUUGGGAAUUUCACCUUUGUUUGUGGCCACUGCCUACAAUCCUAAUGUGCAAGUUUGAAAAUAAUUUUCCUAAUUUUUAUGACCAAACUAGAGCACACUUAUAGUUCAAAUUUGAAUUACAUGAUGUAAAUCUGUAGAAAUUCACUAAAUCAAUGAAAUACAGAAAAACACUCUAAAACAGACUAGUGGGCAUAUAGGGGCUCCAUGCAAAAUGAUUUCAAUUUGUGAGGUUCUCUUUUCAUUUUCUUUAUUUUUUUCCAAAUAGUGGUCAAACUUGCAAGGAUGACCGUUCAUACUAAGAGGUUGGGAAUUUCACCUUUGUUUGUGGCCACUACCUACAAUCCUAAUGUGCAAGAUUGAAAUUAUUUCCCCCAAUUUUUAUGACCAAACUAGAGCACACUUGUAAUUCAAAUUUGAAUUACUUGAUGUAAAUCUCUAGAAAUUCAUCAACUCAACGAAAUAUAGCAGAAACACUUUGAAAGUCUUGAAAUUUUGGUAGUUGAAAUUCCAUAUGGUCUACUUUUGGUGAAAAUUGAAAGAGCACAACUUACAAUCUUAUUUCUGCUACUUUUUCACAAAAAAGUCAUUUUGGGAAUUUUGGACAUCUAAAUGCGCUUGAGCGGGAUCGAACCUGGGUCUCCCAGGUGAAUCUCGUUGGGACGGAUCAGCUGGGACGUACGGUGUGCUUGUGAGAGCAUGUGGAUCUAUUGGGACUCCCACUAUCCUAGGCUUUCGGUGUAUUAUAUAAACCGAGGCCGGUCUAGAUGAUAAACAAUCAGAUUCAUUUUCAUACGUUCUCACAAUACAUCACAUGUACUUUGUACCCCAUCCACAAUCAAUACAAGCAAAGUAGGACGUAGGGUGUUACCUCUUCGAGAGGGCCUGAAUCUUGGUAAACACCGGUGUCCCUUGUGUCUUUCUUACCAUCUAGCCAAGACUACUGAUAACCCACAAGUAUAGGGGAUCAGUUGUAGCCUUUCACGAUAAGUAAGAGUGUCGAAUCCAACGAGGAGCUAAAGGUAGAACAAAUAUUCUGUCAAGUUCUAUUGACCAUCGAUACAACUCUACACACGUUUAACGUUCGCUUUACCUAGAACAAGUAUGAAACUACAAACACUUUGUAGUUGUGGUAAGAUAUGUUUGCAAGAUAAUAAAGAUCACGUAAAUAAAAACUAGGGUCUGUUUAGAUAAAGAAACAAUUACUUUAGUUUAACGAGUAUGGAAAAGUGGUGGUAGGAGUUGCGAAAUUGCCUCUAAGCAAUUGACUACGUUACUAGACCGAUAGCAAGUUUUAUGUGGGAGAGGCCACUGCUAGCAUGUCAUCCCUUACUUGGAAUUCUAUGAACUUAUGAUUGUAACUAUUAGCAAGCAUCCGCAACUACUAACAUUCAUUAAUGUAAAACCCAACCAUACAUUAAGAUAUAUUGGUCUCCAUUCAAUCCCGUAUGCAUCAAUUUAUAUGCUAGGCUGAAGCUGCUAUCACCCUUGCCCUCCAAUACAUAGUCCUAUCAACAUAUAACUAACCAUAUGGUGUGAUCCACACGCGCGCUCAUAUGAUGGGCACCAAAGGACAACAACAUAACCGCAAGCAAAUUAAACUAAUCAUAGCAAUUCACCAAUUACCGAUAGGACAACAAAAAUCUACUCACACAUCAUAGGAUGGCAACACAUCGUUGGAUAAUAAUAUGAAGCAUAAAGCACCAUGUUCAAGUAGAGGAUACAACGGGUUGCGGGAGAGUGGACCACUAAAUAUAGAUGAGGGAAGGUGAUGGAGGUGUUGGUGAAGAUGACAGAGUUGUUGGAGUAGAUCGCCGUCACAUGAUGAUUGCCCCGGUGGCGUUCCGGCGCCAUCGGGAGAGAGAGGGAGAGAGCCCCCUCCUCCUUCUUCUUCUUCCUUGACCUCACCCGUAGAUGGUAGGAGGGUUUCCCCUCUGGUCCAUGGCCUCCAUGGCGGUAGAGGGGCGGGAGCCCCUCCGAGGUUGGAUCUCUCUCUCUCUCUCUCUCUCUCUCUGUGUGUGUGUGUGUGUGUGUGUGUGUGUGUGUGUGUGUGUUUCCUUCUGUUUUUGCGUUCCUAGAUUCUGGUCUUUCACUAUUUCUUAAAUUCCCGGAGAUCCGUAACUCCGAUUGGGCUGAAAUUUUAACACAAUUUUUAUCCAGAUAUUAGCUUUCUUGCGGACGAAGAAGGGGACCAACCACCUUAUGGGGUGUCCACAAGCCUCGCAGGUGCGCCCAGGGUAGGGGGCGUGCCCCUAGGGCUUGUGAGCCCCUCGGGCUGAAGGAAAUAUGCCCUAGAGGCAAUAAUAAAGUUGUUAUUUAUAUUUCCUUAUAUCAUGAUAAAUGUUUAUUAUUCAUGCUAGAGUUGUAUUAACUAGAAACUUAGUACAUGUGUGAAUACAUAGACAAACAGAGUAUCCCUAGUAUGCCUCUACUUAACUAGUUCGUUAAUCAAAGAUGGUUAAGUUUCCUGACCAUACACAUGUGUUAUCAUUUGAUGAAUGGGAUCACAUCAUUAGAGAAUGAUGUGAUGGACAAGACCCAUCCGUUAGCUUAGCAGUAUGAUCGUUUAGUUUUAUUGCUAUUGUUUUCUUCAUGACUUAUACAUAUUCCUCUGACUAUGAGAUUAUGCAACUCCCGAAUACCGGAGGAACACCUUGUGUGCUAUCAAAUGUCACAACGUAACUGGGUAAUUAUAAAGAUGCUCUACAGGUGUCUCCGAAGGUGUUUGUUGAGUUGGCAUAGAUCAAGAUUAGGAUUUGUCACUUCGUGUAUCAGAGAGGUAUCUCUGGGCCCUCUCGGUAAUGCACAUCACUAUAAGCCUUGCAAGCAAUGUGACUAAUGAGUUAGUUGCGGGAUGAUGCAUUACAGAAUGAGUAAAGAGACUUGCCAGUAACGAGAUUGAACUAGGUAUGAUGAUACCGAUGAUCGAAUCUCAGGCAAGUAACAUACCGAUGACAAAGGGAAUAACAUAUGUUGUUAUGCGGUUUGACCGAUAAAGAUCUUCGUAGAAUAUGUAGGAACCAAUAUGAGCAUGUAGGUUCCGCUAUUGGUUAUUGACAGUGGCGGACCCAGAAACUGAAGUUAGCCGGGGCGAACAUUGUUGGAAAUAUAAAUCUACUUAAUCAAAAUUCAUGUCAUUCAACUACCAAAAACAUAAGAAGGUCUUUGAAACAAUUAAUAUGGAUUCUUCACUUGAUGUCACAAUACAUGUCCACAAUCUCAAGCGAGGCCUACAAAAUUAUAAAUGUAUUGGCUCAAGUGUGAUAACUACUCCCUUCGUUCCAAAAUAUAGUGCGUCCUUGGUUCUCGCGUUUCAACUUUGACCAUAAAUUUAACCAACGCGACCGACUGCGGCAGGACUAAAAAUUAUAGCAAUGAAUUCGUAUUCAAAAGAAGUUUUCAAUUAUAUAAUGUUUGCCUCCGCCGCAGUUGGUCUCAUUGAUUAAAUUUAUGGUUAAAGUUGAACCUUGAAAAGCGUGGGCGUGCUAUAUUUUGAAACAGAAGGAUUAUUGUAUAUUUUCUACCCCCCCAAAUUUAUUGUAUAUUUUCAUCAGAUGGCAGUAUACCUCUAACAUGUAGUUGUACAAAGAACACGAGGCUGUCAAGCUAGAUGGCCUCUACGUUUCCGCAAAGUAUAAAAAUGUGCCAUAGUCUGCUUAUCGCUGAUUUUGAUAGUAGGAGACCAACCCAUUCAGUACUGCUGAGCUGGAUCGAUGUUCGGUAUCCGGCAGCAUGCGUUCGAUCACUUGGGCCUUAAAUGCAAUUGUGCAAAUGCUACAGGUUAGCCCCAUUGCUGCAGCCCAGCCCAAACGCGUUUCUCUCCCUCACCCAGCCCUGCCUCACGUACUGCUUCGUGGAAACAAGAAACAAGCCGCCUCCAUGGAAACUGCUCGCCGCCGCCAUGAAAUCAGACGGCCACCAGACGAUAGGUAGGCGGGGAUCGUUGCUCCGCCGGCGGGGACCCAGGGCGGCCGCCCCACCUCGCCCCAAUGGUAGAUCCGCCACUGGUUAUUGACCAGAGAUGUGUCUCGGUCAUGUAUACAUAGUUCUCGAACCCGUAGGGUCCGCACGCUUAACAUUCGAUGACGAUUUGUAUUAUGAGUUAUGUGUUUUGGUGACCGCAGUUUGUUCGGAGUCCUGAAUGAGAUCACGGACAUGACGAGGAGUGUCGAAAUGGUCGAGAGGUAAAUAUUGAUAUAUUGGAAGGUUAUAUUCGGACAUCAGAAUGGUUUUGAGUGAUUCAGAUAUUUUUUCGGAGUACCAAGGGGUUACCGGAACCCCCCGGGGGAAUAAUGGGCCUUAGUGGGCUUUAGUGGAGAAGAGAGAAGGGCCGCAAGGGGUGGCCACGCGCCCCCCUUUCCCUUUCCCUCUUCCUCUCCUUCCUAUUCCCUCCGGUGGAGAAAGGAAAACGGGAGGGGGGGUCCUACUUGGACUAGGAGUCCAAGUAGGACUCCCCCCAUGGCGCGCCCCUCCUGGCCGCCGGCCUCCUCCCCCUUUAUAUACGGGGGCGGGGGGCACCCCAAAGGCACCCCAAGAAAUCUCUUAGCUGUGUGCGGUGCCCCCCUGAAGGAAAUAUGCCCUAGAGGCAAUAAUAAAGUUGUUAUUUAUAUUUCCUUAUAUCAUGAUAAAUCUUUAUUAUUCAUGCUAGAAUUGUAUUAACCGGAAACUUAGUACAUGUGUGAAUACAUAGACAAACAGAAUGUCACUAGUAUGCCUCUACAAGACUAGCUCGUUGAAUCAAUGAUGGUUAUGUUUCCUAACCAUAGACAUGAGUUGUCAUUUGAUUAACGGGAUCACAUCAUUAGAGAAUGAUGUGAUUGACUUGACCCAUCCGUUAGCUUAGCACGAUGAUCGUUUAGUUUGUUGCUAUUGCUUUCUCCAUAACUUAUACAUGUUCCUAUGACUAUGAGAUCAUGCAACUCCCGAAUACCGGAGGAACACUUAGUGUUCUAUCAAACGUCACAACGUAACUGGGUGACUAUAAAGAUGCUCUACAGGUGUCUCCGAUGGUGUUUGUUGAGUUGGCAUAGAUCGAGAUUAGGAUUUGUCACUCCGAGUAUCGGAGAGGUAUCUUUGGGCCCUCUUGGUAAUGCACAUCACUAUAAGCCUUGCAAGCAAUGUGACUAAUGAGUUAGUUACGAGAUGAUGCAUUACGGAACGAGUAAAGAGACUUGCUGGUAACAAGAUUGAACUAGGUAUUGAGAUACCGACGAUCGAAUCUCGGGCAAGUAACAUACCGAUGACAAAGGGAACAACGUAUGUUGUUGUGCGGUUUAACCGAUGAAGAUCUUCGUAGAAUAUGCAGGAACCAAUAUGAUCAUCCAGGUUCCGCUAUUGGUUAUUGACCGGAGAUGAGUCUCGGUCAUGUCUACAUAGUUCUCGAACCCGUAGGGUCCGCACGCUUAAUGUUCGGUGACGAUCGGUAUUACGAGUUUAUGUGUUUUGAUGAACCGAAGGUAGUUCGGAGUCCCGAAUAUGAUCACGGACAUGACGAGGAGUCUCGAAAAGGUCGAGAUGUAAAGAUUGAUAUAUUGAAAGCCUAUGUUUGGACAUCGGAAUGGUUCCAGAUGAGUUCGGGCAUUUUCUGGAGUACCAGGAGGUUAUCGGAACCCCCCGGGGAGUAUAUGGGCCUUAUUGGGCCUUAGUGGAAUAGAGGAGAGGAAGGGAAAAGGUGGGAGGCGUGCCACCCUAGCCCAAUCCGAAUUGGGUGCCCCCCUUUCCUUUCCCCUCUCCUCCCCUUCCUUCUAUCCUACUCCUACUAGUUGGAAGGGGGGAAUCCUACUCCCGGUGGGAGUAGGACUCCCCUAGGGCGCGCCAUAGAGGGCCGGCCCUUCCCCCUCCCCCACUCCUUUAUAUACGGGGGAGGGGGCACCCCAUAGACACACAAGCUGAUCAUUGAUCCCUUAGCCAUGUGCGGUGCCCCCACCACCAUAAUCCAUCUCAGUCAUAUCGUCGUAGUGCUUAGGUGAAGCCCUGCGCCGGUAGCUUAAUCAUCACCGUCAUCACGCCGUCGUGCACGAAGCUCUCCCCCGACACUCAGCUGGAUUGAGAGUUCGUGGGACUUCACCGACCCGAACGUAUGCAGAUCGUGGAGGUGCCAUACUUUCGGUACUAGGAUCGGUCGAAUCGUGAAGACGUACGACUACAUCAACCGCGUUGUCAUAACGCUUCCACUUACGGUCUACGAGGGUACGUGGACAACACUCUUCCCCUCUCGUUGCUAUGCAUCACUAUGAUAGAUCUUGUGUGUGCGUAGGAAUUUUUUGAAAUUACUGCAUAACCCAACAGUGGCAUCCGAGCCAGGUCUAUGCGUAGAUGUUAUAUGCACGAGUAGAACACAAAGGAGUUGUGGGCAUGGGUAUAUACAUAUUGCUUGCCGUCACUAGUUGUUUCUUGAUUCGUCGGUAUUGUUGGAUGAAGCGGGCAAGACCGACAUUAUGCGUACGCUUACGCGAGACUGGUUCUAGCGACGUGCUUCGCACACAGGUGGCUGGUGGGUGUCAGUUUCUCCAACUUUAGUUAAAUCAGAUUCAAUGAACAAGGUUCUUUCUGAAGACCAAAAAGCAAUCACUAUACCGCGUUGUGGUUUUUGAUGCGUAGGUAAGAACGGUUCUUGCUCAGCUCGUAGCAGCCAUGUAAAACUUGCAACACAAAAGUAGAGGACGUCUAACUUGUUUUUGCAGGGCAUGUUGUGAUGUGAUAUGGUCAAGACAUGAUGCUAAAUUUUAUUGUAUGAGAUGAUCAUGUUUUGUAUCAGAGUUAUCGAUAACUAUCAAGAGCCAUAUGGUUGUCACUUUAUUGUAUGAAAUGCAAUCGCCAUGUAAUUGCUUUGCUUUAUCACUAAGCGGUAGCAAUAGCCGUAGAAGCAAUAGUUGGAGAGACGACAACGAUACUUUGAUGGAGAUCAAGGUGUCAAGCCGGUGACGAUGGUGAUCAUGACGGUGCUUUGGAGAUGGAGAUCAAAGUCACAAGAUGAUGAUGGCCAUAGCAUGUCACUUAUAUUGAUUGCAUGUGAUGUUUAUCCUUUAUGCAUCUUAUUUUGCUUAGUUCGGCGGUAGCAUUAUAAGAUGAUCUCUCACUAAAUUUCAAGGUAUAAGUGUUCUCCCUGAGUAUGCACCAUUGCUACAGUUCGUCGUGCCGAGACACCACGUGAUGAUCGGGUGCGAUAAGCUCUACAUUCACAUACAACGGGUGUAAGCCAGUUUUGCACACGCAGAAUACUCAGGUUAAACUUGACGAGCCUAGCAUAUGCAGAUAUGGCCUCAGAAUACUGAGACCGAAAGGUCGAGCGUGAAUCAUAUAGUAGAUAUGAUCAACAUAGUGAUGUUCACCAUUGAAAAGUACUCCAUCUCACGUGAUGAUCGGACAUGGUUUAGUUGAUAUGGAUCACAUGAUCACUUAGAUGAUUAGAGGGAUGUCUAUCUAAGUGAGAGUUCUUAAGUAAUUUGAUUAAUUGAACUUUAAUUUAUCAAAAACUUAGUACCUGAUAGUAUUUUGCAUGUCUAUGUUGUUGUGGAUAGAUGGACCGUGCUGUUGUUCCGUUGAAUUUUAAUGCGUUCCUAGAGAAAGCUAAGUUGAAAGAUGGUACCAACUACAUGGACUGGGUCCAUAACUUGAGGAUUAUCCUCAUUGCUGCACAAAAGAAUUACGUCCUAGAAGCACCGCUAGGUGACAAACCCGCUGCAGGAGCAACGCCAGAUGUUAUGAACACCUGGCAGAGCAAAGCUGAUGACUACUCGAUAGUUCAGUGUGCCAUGCUUUACGGAUUAGAAACGGGAGUUCAACGUCGUUUUGAAUGUCAUGGAGCAUAUGAGAUGUUCCAGGAGUUGAAGUUAAUAUUUCAAGCGAACGCCCGGAUUGAGAGAUAUGAAGUCUCCAAUAAGUUCUACAGUUGCAAGAUGGAGGAGAAUAGUUCUGUCAGUGAACAUAUACUCGGAAUGUCUGGGUACCACAACCACUUGACUCAGCUGGGAGUUAAUCUUCCUGAUGAUAGUGUCAUUGACAGAGUUCUUCAAUCACUGUCACCAAGCUACAAGAGCUUCGUGAUGAACUAUAAUAUGCAAGGGAUGGAUAAAACGAUUCCUGAGCUCUUCGCAAUGCUAAAGGCCGUGGAGGUAGAAAUCAAGAAGGAGCCAAGUGUUGAUGGUCAACAAGACCACCAAUUUCAAGAAAAAGGGUAAAGGGAAGAAGGGGAACUUCAAGAAGAACAACAAGCCAGUUGCUGCUCAAGUUAAGAAACCCAAGUCUGGACCUAAGCCCGAGACUGAGUGCUUCUACUGCAAAUGAACUUGUCACUGGAAGCGGAACUUCCCCAAGUAUUUGGCGGAGAAGAAGGAUGUCAAAGUGAAAGGUAUAUUUUAUAUACAUGUUAUUGAUGUGUACCUUACUAAUGCUCGCAGUAGUGCCUGGGUAUUUAAUACUGGUUCAGUUGCUAACAUUUGCAACUCGAAACAGGGGCUACGGAUUAAGCGAAGAUUGGCUAAGGACGAGGUGACAACGCACAUGGGAAAUGGUUCCAAAGUUGAUGUGAUCGCCGUCGGCACGCUACCUCUACAUCUACCUUCGGGAUUAGUUUUAGACCUAAAUAAUUGUUAUUUGGUGCUAGCGUUAAGCUUGAACAUUAUAUCUGGAUCUUGUUUGAUGCGAUACGGUUAUUCAUUUAAAUCAGAGAAUAAUGGUUGUUCUAUUUAUAUGAGUAAUAUCUUUUAUGGUCAGGCACCCUUGAUGAGUGGUCUAUUUUUACUAAAGCUUGAUAGUAGUGAUACACAUGUCCAUAGUAUUGAAGCCAAAAGAUGCAGAGUUGAUAGUGAUAGUGCAACUUAUUUGUGGCACUGCCGUUUGGGUCAUAUUGGUGUAAAGCGCAUGAAGAAACUCCAUUCUGAUGGACUUCUGGAAUCACUUGAUUAUGAAUCACUUGGUACUUGGGAACCAUGCCUCAUGGACAAGAUGACUAAAACUCCGUUCUCCGGAACAAUGGAGCGAGCAACAGAGUUAUUGGAAAUCUAUACCUACUAAUAAAAGAAAUAGGUAUUCUUAGUCCGUCAUGCUAUUUUGUAGGAAACCCCCUGAUGUUUCUGACAUUAAACCCGCACUACAUAUCAACUGUUUUUAAAAAUACUCAUAUCUUCUAAACCGUAAAUCCAAAUUUAACAUGUUAUAUAUGGAAUUUGAUUAAAAAAAUAUGUAGAAUCUGAAUAUUAUGUUAUUUUUACUGUUAACAAUUAAAAAAAUACUAACUAGGCUGCAAUGUUAAUCAACAAUGCAUUAUCUGUCUUUUUUCAUACCGAUACUAAUUCGGAUUGUGGAUGAACACCUCAGCAAAAUCAGGAUUGUUACAUUAUAUUGAAGAUAAAUUUGCUAGAGACACCAAAUAAAUAAGAAUAUGCAUGACAACAAAUAAAAGAAUGACCCAAUAAAGAUGGGAUGUUCGCUAUAAAAUAAAUAAGAGAAAAUGCAGAGGAGAUCCGAUAAAGAUGAGAUGUGCGCUAUUCUCCUAUAUAUAUAAGAAGAAGAAAGAGAGGACAUGCACGAAAAAAGUAAAAGGAGGCAUGCAUGACCAAAAAUAAAAUAAAAGAUAAAUUUGAUAAGAUAAAUACUCAUAUCUUCUAAACCUUAAAUCCAAAUUUAACAUGUUAUAUAUGGAAUUUGAUUAAAAAACUAUGUAGAAUUUGAAUAUUAUGUUAUUUUUAUUGUUAACAAUUUAAAAAAAUACUAACUAGGCUGCAAUGUUAAUCAAUAAUGCAUUAUCUCUCUUUUUUCAUACCGAUACUAAUUCGGAUUGUGGAUGAAUACCAUAGCGAAAUCAGGAUUGGACAUUAUAUUGAAGAUAAAUUUGCUAGAGACACCCAAUAAAUAAGAACAUGCAUGACAAAAAAUAACGGAAUGACCCAAUAAAGAUGGGAUGUUCGCUAUAAAAUAAAUAAGAGAAAAUGCAGAGAUCCGAUAAAAAUGAGAUGUGCGCUAUUCUCCUAUAUAUAAUAAGAAGAAAGAGAGGACAUGCAUGAAAAAAAGUAAAAGGAGACAUGCAUGACCAAAAAUAAAAUAAAAGAUAAAUUUGAUAAGAUAUAAAUAGUGAUGAAACAGGGACCAAUACCUAUGACAUGUAUGGCAAGAAAUAGUGAUGAAAUAGGGGCGCAAGUACCGGCGCCAACAGGAGACCAUACACGAAUAUUCUUUUCCAAACAAAAAAUAAUCUCUUUUUAUGAUUAAAAAAUCAUGUAUCUUUUUAACAACUCUUCAUGUAUUUAAGAAAUAGCUAGAAAUUCCCAUUAUGAACAUUUUUUUUGUAAAUUAAGAGCAUUUGGUAUUUUUUUCUCCCGUUGCAAUGCACGGGCCUUUUUGCUAGUCAUACAUAAUGAUGUAUGUGGUCCAAUGAACAUUGAGGCUCGCGGCGGAUAUCAUUAUUUUCUCACCUUCACAGAUGAUUUGAGCAGAUAUGGGUAUAUCUACUUAAUGAAAUAUAAGUCUGAAACAUUUGAAAAGUUUAAAGAAUUUCAGAGUGAAGUGGAAAAUCAUCGUAACAAGAAAAUAAAGUUUCUAUGAUCCGAUCGUGGAGGAGAAUAUUUGAGUUACGAGUUUGGUCUUCAUUUGAAACAAUGCGAAAUAGUUUCGCAACUCACGCCACCCGGAACACCACAGCGUAAUGGUGUGUCCGAACAUCGUAAUCAUACUUUACUAGAUAUGGUGCGAUCUAUGAUGUCUCUUACAAAUUUACCGCUAUCGUUUUGGGGUUAUGCUUUAGAGACAGCUGCAUUCAUGUUAAGUAGGGCACCAUCUAAAUCCGUUGAGACGACACCUUAUGAACUGUGGUUUGGCAAGAAACCCAAGUUGUCGUUUCUUAAAGUUUUGGGCUGCGAUGCUUAUGUGAAAAAGCUUCAACUUGACAAGCUCGAACCCAAAUCGGAGAAAUGUUUCUUCAUAGGAUACCCAAAGGAGACCGUUGGGUACACCUUCUAUCACAGAUCCGAAGGCAAGAUAUUCGUUGCUAAGAAUGGAUCCUUUCUAGAGAAGAAGUUUCUCUCGAAAGAAGUGAGUGGGAGGAAAGUAGAACUUGAUGAGGUAAUUGUACCUACUCCCUUAUUAGAAAGUAGUUCAUCACUGAAAUUAGUUCCAGUGAUUCAUACACCAGUAAGUGAGGAAGCUAAUGAUGAUGAUCAUGAAACUUCUGAUCAAGUUUCUACCGAACCUCAUAGGUCAACUAGAGUAAGAUCCGCACCGGAGUGGUACGGUAAUCCUGUUCUGGAGGUCAUGUUACUUGACCAUGACGAACCUAUGAACUAUGAGGAAGCGAUGAUGAGCCCAGAUUCCGCAAAAUGGCUUGAGGCCAUGAAAUCUGAGAUGGGAUCCAUGUAUGAGAACAAAGUGUGGACUUUGGCUGACUUGCCCGUUGAUCGGCAGGCCAUAGAGAAUAAAUGGAUCUUCAAGAAGAAGACUGACGCUGACGGUAAUAUUACUGUCUACAAAGCACGAAUUUUUGCAAAACGUUUUCGACAAGUUCAUGGAGUUCACUACGAUGAGACCUUCUCACCCGUAGCGAUGCUUAAAUCCGUCUGAAUCAUGUUAGCAAUUGCCACAUUUUAUGAUUAUGAAAUUUCGCAAAUGGAUGUCAAAACUGCAUUCCUUAAUGGAUAUCUUAAAGAAGAGUUGUAUAUUAUGCAACCAAAAGGUUUUCUCGAUCCAAAAGGUGCUAACAAAGAGUGCAAGUUACAUCGAUCCAUUUAUGGACUGGUGCAAGCCUCUCGGAGUUGGAAUAUACGCUUUGAUAGUGUGAUCAAAGCAUAUGGUUUUAUACAGACUUUUGGAGAAGCCUAUAUUUAUAAGAAAGUGAGUGGGAGCUCUGUAGCAUUUUUGAUAUUAUAUGUAGAUGACAUAUUGUUGAUCGGAAAUGAUACUGAAUUUCUGAAUAGCAUAAAAGGAUACUUGAAUAAGAAUUUUUCAAUGAAAGACCUCGGUGAAGCUGCUUAUAUAUUGGGCAUCAAGAUCUAGAGAGAUAGAUCAAGAUGCUUAAUUGGACUUUCACAAAGCACAUACCUUUAUAAAGUUUUAAAGAAGUUCAAAAUGGAUCAUGCAAAGAAAGGGUUCUUGCCUGUGUUACAAGGUGUGGAGUCAAGUCAGACUCAAUGCCCGACCACUCCAGAAGAUAGACAAAAAUGAAAGUCAUUCCCUAUGCUUCAGCCAUAGGUUCUAUCAUGUAUGCAAUGCCGUGUACUAGACCUGAUAUGUGCCUUGCUAUUAGUUUAGCAGGGAGGUACCAAAGUAAUCCAGGAGUGGAUCACUGGACAGCGGUCAAGAACAUCCUGAAAUACCUGAAAAGGACUAAGGAUAUGUUUCUCAUUUAUGGAGGUGACAAAUAGCUCCUCGUAAAUGGUUACAUCGAUGCAAGCUUUGAGACUGAUCCGGAUGACUCUAAGUCACAAACCGGAUACGUAUUUUUAUUAAAUGGUGGAGCUGUCAGUUGGUGCAGUUCCAAACAGAGCAUCGUGGCGGGAUCUACAUGUGAAGCGCAGUACAUAGCUGCUUCGGAAGCAGUAAAUGAAGGAGUCUGGACGAAGGAGUUCAUAUCCGAUCUAGGUGUAAUACCUAGUGCAUCGGGUCCAAUGAAAAUCUUUUGUGACAAUACCGGUGCAAUUGCCUUGGCAAAGGAAUCCAGAUUUCACAAGAGAACCAAGCACAUCAAGAGACACUUCAAUUCCAUCUGCGAUCAAGUCAAGGAGGGAGACAUAGAGAUUUGCAAUAUACAUACGGAUCUGAAUGUUGCAGACCCGCUGACUAAGCCUCUCUCACAAGCAAAACAUGAUCAGCACCAAGACUCCAUGGAUGUUAGAAUCAUUACAAUGUAAUCUAGAUUAUUGACUCUAGUGCAAGUGGGAGACUGAAGGAAAUAUGCCCUAGAGGCAAUAAUAAAGUUGUUAUUUAUAUUAUAUCAUGAUAAAUGUUUAUUAUUCAUGCUAGAAAUUGUUGUUGGGGAACGUUGCAGAAAACAAAAAAAUUCCUACUCGUUUCACCAAGAUCCAUCUAGGAGUCCAUCUAGCAAUGAGACAUCGGAUACAUCUACAUACCUUUGUAGACCGCGUGCGGAAGCGUUCAAAGAACGGUGAUGAUGUAGUCGAACACGACGUGAUCCAAAUCACCGAUGACCAAGCGCCGAACGGACGGCACCUCCGCGUUCAACACACGUACGGGACGGGAGACGUCUCCUCCUUCUUGAUCCAGCAAGGGGAAGGAGAGGUUGAUGAAGAUCCAGCAGCACGACGGCGUGGUGGUGGAUGCAGGGCGUCACAGUAGCAGGGCUUCGCCUAUACUACGAGAGAGAGAGACGUAACGGGGAGAGAGGGAGGCGCCAGGGGCUGGUGUCUGAAGUCCCUCCUCUCCCCCACUAUAUAUAGGGGUGCUAGGGGGGGGCGCCGGCCCUAGUAGAUGGAAUCUACUGGGGGGGCGGCGGCCAAGGGUGGGGGGCUUGCCCCCCAAGCAAGGGGGCGCCCCCUUUAGGGUUUCCCCUCAACCCUAGCCGCAUGGGCCCUAGGGGAGUGGCGCCCCAGCCCAAUUUGGGCUGGGUUCCCUCCUACUUCAGCCCAUGGGGCCCCCCGGGAUAGGUGGUCCCACCCGGUGGACCCCGGGGACCCUUCCGGUGGUCCCGGUACAAUACCGGUGACCCCGAAACUUGUCCCGAUGGCCGAAACAGCACUUCCUAUAUAUAAUUCUUUACCUCCGGACCAUUCCGGAACUUCUCGUGAUGUCCGGGAUCUCAUCCGGGACUCUGAACAACAUUCAGGUUACUGCAUAUACAUAUCUUCACAACCCUAGCGUCACCGAACCUUAAGUGUGUAGACCAUACGGGUUCGGGAGACAAGCAGACAUGACCGAGACGACUCUCCGGUCAAUAACCAACAGCGGGAUCUGGAUACCCAUGUUGGCUCCCACAUGCUCCACGAUGAUCUCAUCGGAUGAACCACGAUGUCGAGGAUUCAAUCAACCCCGUAUGCAACUCCCUUUGUCAAUCGAUAUGUUACUUGCCCGAGAUUCGAUCGUCGGUAUCCCAAUACCUCGUUCAAUCUCGUUACCGGCAAGUCACUUUACUCGUACCAUAAUGCAUGAUCCCGUGACCAGACACUUGGUCACUUUGAGCUCAUUAUGAUGAUGCAUUACCGAGUGGGCCCAGUGAUACCUCUCCGUCAUACGGAGUGACAAAUCCCAGUCUUGAUCCAUGUCAACCCAACAGACACUUUCGGAGAUGCCCGUAGUGUACCUUUGUAGUCACCCAGUUACGUUGUGACGUUUGGUAUACCCAAAGCACUCCUACGGUAUCCGGGAGUUACACGAUCUCAUGGUCUAAGGAAAAGAUACUUGACAUUGGAAAACUCUAGCAAACGAACUAUACGAUCUUGUGCUAUGUUUAGGAUUGGGUCUUGUCCAUCACAUCAUUCUCCUAAUGAUGUGAUCUCGUUAUCAAUGACAUCUAAUGUCCAUAGUCAGGAAACCAUGACUAUCUGUUGAUCAACGAGCUAGUCAACUAGAGGCUUACUAGGGACAUGUUGGUGUCUGUUAUUCACACAUGUAUUACGAUUUCCGGAUAACACAAUUAUAGCAUGAAUAAAGACAAUUAUCAUGAAUAAGGAAAUAUAAUAAUAAUGCUUUUAUUAUUGCCUCUAGGGCAUAUUUCCAAUAGUCUCCCACUUGCACUAGAGUCAAUAAUCUAGUUACAUUGUGAUGAAUCGAACACCCAUGGAAUUCUGGUGUUGAUCAUGUUUUGCUCUAGGGAGAGGUUCAGUCAACGGAUCUGCUACAUUCAGGUCCGUAUGUACUUUACAAAUCUCUAUGUCUCCAUCUUGAACAUUUUCACGAAUGGAGUUGAAGCGACGCUUGAUGUGCCUUGUCUUCUUGUGAAACCUGGGCUCCUUGGCAAGUGCAAUAGCUCCAGUGUUGUCACAAAAGAGUUUGAUUGGCCCCGACGCAUUGGGUAUGACUCCUAGGUCGGUGAUGAACUCCUUCACCCAUAUUGCUUCAUGUGCUGCCUCCGAGGCUGCCAUGUACUCCGCUUCACAUGUAGAUCCCGCCACGACGCUCUGCUUGCAACUGCACCAGCUUACUGCCCCACCAUUCAAAAUAUACACGUAUCCGGUUUGUGACUUAGAGUCAUCCAGAUCUAUGUCGAAGCUAGCGUCGACGUAACCCUUUACGACGAGCUCUUCGUCACCUCCAUAAACGAGAAACAUUUCCUUAGUCCUUUUCAGGUACUUCAGGAUAUUCUUGACCGCUGUCCAGUGUUCCUUGCCGGGAUUACUUUGGUACCUUCCUACCAAACUUACGGCAAGGUUUACAUCAGGUCUGGUACACAGCAUGGCAUACAUAAUAGACCCUAUGGCCGAGGCAUAGGGGAUGACACUCAUCUCUUCUAUAUCUUCUGCCGUGGUCGGACAUUGAGCUGAGCUCAAUUUCAUACCUUGUAACACAGGCAAGAACCCCUUCUUAGAUUGAUCCAUAUUGAACUUCUUCAAUAUCUUAUCAAGGUAUGUGCUUUGUGAAAGACCUAUGAGGCGUCUGGAUCUAUCUCUAUAGAUUUUGAUGCCUAAUAUAUAAGCAGCUUCUCCAAGGUCCUUCAUUGAAAAACUUUUAUUCAAGUAGGCCUUAAUGCCGUCCAAGAGUUCUAUAUCAUUUCCCAUCAAAAGUAUGUCAUCUACAUAUAAUAUGAGAAAUGCUACAGAGCUCCCACUCACUUUCUUGUAAACGCAGGCUUCUCCAUAAGUCUGCGUAAACCCAAACGCUUUGAUCAUCUCAUCAGAGCGAAUGUUCCAACUCCGAGAUGCUUGCACCAGCCCAUAAAUCGAGCAUUGGAGCUUGCACACCUUGUCAGCAUUCUUAGGAUCGACAAAACCUUCCGGCUGCAUCAUAUACAAUUCUUCCUUAAGGAAACCAUUAAGGAAUGCCGUUUUGACGUCCAUUUGCCAUAUCUCAUAAUCGUAGAAUGCGGCAAUUGCUAACAUGAUUCGGACGGACUUUAGCUUCGCUACCGGUGAGAAAGUCUCAUCAUAGUCAACCCCUUGAACUUGUCGAUAACCCUUAGCGACAAGUCGAGCUUUAUAGAUGGUCACAUUACCAUCUGCGUCUGUCUUCUUCUUAAAGAUCCAUUUAUUUUCUAUGGCUCGCUGUUCAACGGGCAAGUCAGUCAAAUUCCGUACUUCAUUUUCAUACAUGGAUCCUAUCUCGGAUUUCAUGGCUUCUAGCCAUUUGUCGGAAUCCGGGCCCGCCAUCGCUUCUUCAUAGUUCGAAGGUUCACCAUUGUCUAACAACAUGAUUUCCAAGACAGGGUUGCCGUACCACUCUGGUGCGGAACGUGUCCUUGUGGACCUUCGAAUUUCAGUAGGAGCUUGAUCAGAAGUAUCUUGAUCAUUAUCAUUAACUUCCUCUCUAGUCGGUGCAGGCACCUCGGGAACAUUUUCUUGAGUUGCGCCAUUUUCCGGUUCAAGAGGUAAUACUUCAUCAAGCUCUACUUUCCUCCCACUUACUUCUUUCGAGAGAAACUCUUUCUCUAGAAAGGACCCAUUCUUGGCAACAGAGAUCUUGCCUUCGGAUCUGAGGUAGAAGGUGUACCCAAUAGUUUCUUUUGGGUAUCCUAUGAAGACGCAUUUUUUCGACUUGGGUUCGAGCUUUUCAGGUUGAAGUUUCUUGACAUAAGCAUCGCAUCCCCAAACUUUUAGAAACGACAGCUUAGGUUUCUUCCCAAACCAUAAUUCAUACGGUGUCGUUUCAACGGAUUUCGACGGAGCCCUAUUUAAAGUGAAUGCGGCAGUCUCUAAAGCAUAGCCCCAAAAAGAUAGCGGUAAAUCGGUAAGAGACAUCAUAGAUCGCACCAUAUCUAAUAGAGUGCAAUUACGACGUUCGGACACACCGUUACGCUGAGGUGUUCCAGGCGGCGUGAGUUGUGAAACUAUUCCACAUUUUCUUAAGUGUGUGCCAAAUUCGUGACUCAAGUAUUCUCCUCCACGAUCUGAUCGUAGAAACUUGAUUUUCCUGUCACGUUGAUUCUCAACCUCACUCUGAAAUUCCUUGAACUUUUCAAAGGUUUCAGACUUGUGUUUCAUUAAGUAGAUAUACCCAUAUAUACUUAAAUCAUCAGUGAGCGUGAGAACAUAACGAUAGCCACCGCGAGCCUCAACACUCAUUGGACCGCACACAUCAGUAUGUAUGAUUUCCAAUAAGUUGGUUGCUCGCUCCAUUGUUCCUGAGAACGGAGUCUUGGUCAUCUUACCCAUGAGGCAUGGUUCGCACGUGUCAAAUGAUUCAUAAUCAAGAGACUCUAAAAGUCCAUCUGCAUGGAGCUUCUUCAUGCGUUUGACACCUAUAUGACCAAGGCGGCAGUGCCACAAGUAUGUGGGACUAUCAUUAUCAACCUUACAUCUUUUGGUACUCACAUUAUGAACAUUUGUAGUAUUACGUUCGAGAUUCAUAAAGAAUAAACCAUUCACCAUAGGAGCAUGACCAUAAAACAUAUCUCUCAUAUAAAUAGAACAACCAUUAUUCUCGGAUUUAAAUGAGUAACCAUCUCGAAUUAAACGAGAUCCCGAUACAAUGUUCAUGCUCAAAGCUGGCACUAAAUAACAAUUAUUAAGGUUUAAAACUAAUCCCGAAGGUAGAUAUAGAGGUAGCGUGCCGACGGCGAUCACAUUGACCUUGGAACCAUUCCCGACGCGCAUCGUCACCUCGUCCUUUGCCAGUUUCCGCUUAUUCCGCAGCCCCUGCUUUGAGUUAUAAAUGUGAGUAACUGCACCGGUAUCAAAUACCCAGGAGCUACUACGAACACUAGUAAGGUACACAUCAAUUACAUGUAUAUCACAUAUACCUUUUGUUUUGCCGGCCUUCUUGUCUGCUAAGUAUUUAGGGCAGUUCCGCUUCCAGUGACCGCUUCCCUUGCAAUAAAAGCACUCAGUCUCGGGCUUGGGUCCAUUCUUUGGCUUCUUCCCGGCAGCUUGCUUGCCGGGCGCGGCAACCUCCUUGCCGUCCUUCUUGAAGUUCUUUUUACCCUUGCCUUUCUUGAACUUAGUGGUUUUAUUGACCAUCAACACUUGAUGUUCCUUCUUGACUUCUACCUCCGCUGAUUUCAGCAUUGAGAACAACUCGGGAAUGGUCUUUUGCAUCCCCUGCAUGUUGAAGUUCAUCACAAAGCUCUUGUAGCUUGGUGGAAGCGACUGGAGGAUUCUGUCAAUGACCGCAUCAUCCGGGAGAUUAACUCCCAGCUGAGACAAGCGGUUAUGUAACCCAGACAUAGUGAGUAUGUGCUCACUGACAGAACUAUUUUCCUCCAUCUUACAGCUGAAGAACUUAUCGGAGACUUCAUAUCUCUCGAUCCGGGCAUGAGCUUGAAAAACCAUUUUCAGCUCUUCGAACAUCUCAUAUACUCCAUGUCUCUCAAAACGCUUUUGGAGCCCCGGCUCUAAGCUGUAAAGCAUGCCGCACUGAACGAGGGAGUAGUCGUCAACACGUGUCUGCCAAGCGUUCAUAACGUCUUGGUUCUGUGGGACGGGAGCUUCACCUAGCGGUGCUUGUAGGACAUAAUCUUUCUUGGCAGCUAUGAGGAUGAUCCUCAGGUUUCGGACCCAGUCCGUAUAGUUGCUGCCAUCGUCUUUCAGCUUGGUUUUCUCUAGGAACGCGUUGAAGUUGAGGACUACGUGGGCCAUUUGAUCUACAAGACAUAUUGUAAAAUAUUUUAGACUAAGUUCAUGAUAAUUAAGUUCAUCUAAUCAAAUUAUUAAUGAACUCCCACUUAGAUUAGACAUCCCUCUAGUCAUCCAAGUAUUGCAUGAUCCGAGUUAACUAGGCCGUGUCCGAUCAUCACGUGAGACGGACUAGUCAACAUCGGUGAACAUCUUCAUGUUGAUCGUAUCUUCUAUACGACUCAUGCUCGACCUUUCGGUCUUUUGUGUUCCGAGGCCAUGUCUGUACAUGCUAGGCUCGUCAAGUCAACCUAAGUGUUUGCAUGUGUAAAUCUGUCUUACACCCGUUGUAUGUGAACGUCUGAAUAAAACACCCGAUCAUCACGUGGUGUUUUGAAACAGCGAACUGUCGCAACGGUGCACAGUUAGGGGGAACACUUCUUGAAAUUAUUAUGAGGGAUCAUCUUAUUUACUACCGUCGUUCUAAGUAAACAAGAUGCAAAACAUGAUAAACAUCACAUGCAAUCAAAUAAUAAACGUGACAUGAUAUGGCCAAUAUCACAUAGCUCCUUUGAUCUCCAUCUUGGGGCUCCAUGAUCAUCUUGUCACCGGCUUGACACCAUGAUCUCCAUCAUCAUGUCUCCAUGAAGUUGCUCGCCAACUAUUACUUCUACUACUAUGGCUAACGCGUUUAGCAAUAAAGUAAAGUAAUUUACAUGGCGUUUCUCAAUGACACGCAGGUCAUAUAAAAGAAUAAAGACAACUCCUAUGGCUCCUGCCGGUUGUCAUACUCAUCGACAUGCAAGUCGUGAUUCCUAUUACAAUAGCAUGAACAUCUCAUACAUCACAUAUAGAUCAUUCAUCAUUCAUCACAACUUUGGCCAUAUCAUAUCACAAACCACUUGCUGCAAAAACAAGUUAGACGUCUUCUAAUUGUUGUUGCAAGUUUUACGUGGCUGAAUUAGGGUUCUAGCAAGAACGUCUUCUUACCUACGUUAAAGUCACAACGUGAUUUGUCAACUUCUAUUUACCCUUCAUAAGGACCCUGUUCAUCGAAUCCGCUCCAACUAAAGUGGGAGAGACAGACACCCGCCAGCCACCUUAUGCAACUAGUGCAUGUUAGUCGGUGGAACCGGUCUCACGUAAGCGUACGUGUAAGGUUGGUCCGGGCCGCUUCAUCCCACAAUGCCGCUGAAGCAAUAAAAGACUAGUAGCGGCAAGAAAGUUGACAAAUCUAUGCCCACAACAAAUUGUGUUCUACUCGCGCAAGAAGAACUACGCAUAGACCUAGCUCAUGAUGCCACUGUUGGGGAACGUUGCAGAAAACAAAAAAAAUUCCUACUCGUUUCACCAAGAUCCAUCUAGGAGUCCAUCUAGCAACGAGACAUCGGAUGCAUCUACAUACCUUUGUAGACUGCGUGCGGAAGCGUUCAAAGAACGGUGAUGAUGUAGUCGAACACGACGUGAUCCAAAUCACCGAUGACCAAGCGCCGAACGGACGGCACCUCCGCGUUAAACACAUGUACGGGACGGGAGACGUCUCCUCCUUCUUGAUCCAGCAAGGGGAAGGAGAGGUUGAUGAAGAUCCAGCAGCACGACAGCGUGGUGGUGGAUGCAGGGCGUCACAGUAGCAGGGCUUCGCCUAUACUACAAGAGAGAGACGUAACAGGGAGAGAGGGAGGCACCAGGGGCUGGUGUCUGAAGUCCCUCCUCUCCCCCACUAUAUAUAGGGGUGCUAGGGGGGGGCGCCGGCCCUAGUAGAUGGAAUCUACUAGGGGGGGCGGCGGCCAAGGGUGGGGGGCUUGCCCCCCAAGCAAGGGGGCGCCCCCUUUAGGGUUUCCCCUCAACCCUAGCCGCAUGGGCCCUAGGGGAGUGGCGCCCCAGCCCACUUUGGGCUGGGUUCCCUCCUACUUCAGCCCAUGGGGCCCCCCGGGAUAGGUGGUCCCACCCGGUGGACCCCCGGGACCCUUCCGGUGGUCCCGGUACAAUACCGGUGACCCCGAAACUUGUCCCGAUGGCCGAAACAGCACUUCCUAUAUAUAAUUCUUUACCUCCGGACCAUUCCGGAACUUCUCGUGACGUCUGGGAUCUCAUCCGGGACUCCGAACAACAUUCGGGUUACUGCAUAUACAUAUCUUCACAACCCUAGCGUCACCGAACCUUAAGUGUGUAGACCCUACGGGUUCGGGAGACAAGCAGACAUGACCGAGACGACUCUCCGGUCAAUAACCAACAGCGGGAUCUGGAUACCCAUGUUGGCUCCCACAUGCUCCACGAUGAUGUCAUCGGAUGAACCACGAUGUCGAGGAUUCAAUCAACCCCGUAUGCAACUCCCUUUGUCAAUUGAUAUGUUACUUGCCCGUGAUUCGAUCGUCGGUAUCCCAAUACCUCGUUCAAUCUCGUUACCGGCAAGUCACUUUACUCGUACCGUAAUGCAUGAUCCCGUGACCAGACACUUGGUCACUUUGAGCUCAUUAUGAUGAUGCAUUACCGAGUGGGCCCAGUGAUACCUCUCCGUCAUACGGAGUGACAAAUCCCAGUCUUGAUCCAUGUCAACCCAACAGACACUUUUGGAGAUGCCCGCAGUGUACCUUUAUAGUCACCCAGUUACGUUGUGACGUUUGGUAUACCCAAAGCACUCCUACGGUAUCCGGGAGUUACACGAUCUCAUGGUCUAAGGAAAAGAUACUUGACAUUGGAAAACUCUAGCAAACGAACUAUACGAUCUUGUGCUAUGUUUAGGAUUGGGUCUUGUCCAUCACAUCAUUCUCCUAAUGAUGUGAUCUCGUUAUCAAUGACAUCUAAUGUCCAUAGUCAGGAAACCAUGACUAUCUGUUGAUCAACGAGCUAGUCAACUAGAGGCUUACUAGGGACAUGUUGGUGUCUGUUAUUCACACAUGUAUUACGAUUUCCGGAUAACACAAUUAUAGCAUGAAUAAAGACAAUUAUCAUGAAUAAGGAAAUAUAAUAAUAAUGCUUUUAUUAUUGCCUCUAGGGCAUAUUUCCAACAAUUGUACUAACCAGAAACUUAGUACAUGUGUGAAUACAUAGACAAACAAAAUGUCACUAGUAUGCCUCUACUAGACUAGCUCGUUGAAUCAAUGAUGGUUAUGUUUCCUAACCAUAGACAUGAGUUGUCAUUUGAUUAACGGGAUCACAUCAUUAGAGAAUGAUGUGAUUGACUUGACCCAUCCAUUAACUUAGCACGAUGAUCGUUUAGUUUGUUGCUAUUGCUUUCUGCAUAACUUAUACAUGUUCCUAUGACUAUGAGAUUAUGCAACUCCCGAAUACCGGUGGGACACUUAGUGUGCUAUCAAAUGUCACAACGUAACUGGGUGACUAUAAAGAUGCUCUACAGGUGUCUCUGAUGGUGUUUGUUGAGUUGGCAUAGAUCGAGAUUAGGAUUUGUCACUCCAAGUAUCGGAGAGGUAUCUCUGGGCCCUCUCGGUAAUGCACAUCACUAUAAGCCUUGCAAGCAAUGUGACUAAUGAUUUAUUUACGGGAUGAUGCAUUAUGGAACGAGUAAAGAGACUUGCCCAAACGAAAUUGAACUAGGUAUUGAGAUAUCGACGAUCGAAUCUCGGGCAAGUAACAUACCGAUGACAAAGGGAACAACGUAUGUUGUUGUGCGGUUUGACCGAUGAAGAUCUUCGUAGAAUAUUUAGGAACCAAUAUGGGAAUCCAGGUUCCACUAUUGGUUAUUGACCGAAGAUGAGUCUCGGUCAUGUCUACAUUGUUCUCGAACCCGUAGGGUCCGCACGCUUAACGUUCGAUGACGAUCGGUAUUAUGAGUUUAUGUGUUUUGAUGUAUCGACAGUAGUUCGGAGUCCCGGAUAUGAUCACGGACAUGACGAAGAGUCUCAAAAUGGUCGAGACGUAAAGAUUGAUAUAUUGGAAGCCUAUGUUUGGACAUCGGAAUGGUUCCAGAUGAGUUCGGGCAUUUUCCAGAGUACCAGGAUGUUACCGGAAACCCCCGGGGAGUAUAUGGGCCUUAUUGGGCCUUAGUGGAAUAGAGGAGAGGAAGGGAAAAGGUGGGAGGCGCGCCACCCUAGCCUAAUCCGAAUUGGGUAGGGGCCGCCCCCUUUCCUUUCCCCUCUCCUCCCCUUCCUUCUCUCCUACUCCUACUACUUGGAAGGGGGGAAUCCUACUCCCGGUGGGAGUAGGACUCCCCUAGGGCACACCAUAGAGGGCCGACCCUUCCACCUCCUCCACUCCUUUAUAUACGGGGGAGGGGCACACCCCAUAGACACACAAGUUGAUCAUUGAUCCCUUAGCCGUGUGCGGUGCCCCCCUCCAUGAUAAUCCACCUCGGUCAUAUCAUCGUAGUGCUUAGGCGAAGCCCUACGCCGGUAGCUUCAUCAUCACCAUCAUCACGCCGUCGUGCCAACGAAGCUCUCCCUCGACACUCAACUGGAUCAAGAGUUCGUGGGACGUCACCGAGCCGAAUGUGUGCAGAUCGCGGAGGUGCCGUACUUUCGGUACUAGGAUCGAUCGGAUCGUGAAGACGUACGACUACAUCAACCGCGUUGUCAUAAUGCUUCCGCUUACGGUCUACGAGGGUACAUGGACAACACUCUUCCCCUCUCGUUGCUAUGCAUCACCAUGAUAGAUCUUGCGUGUGCGUAGGAUUUUUUUAAAAAUUACUGCAUAACCCAACACCCCCUCCAUAGUUUACUCGUCCGGUCAUAUUGUCGUAGUGCUUAGGCGAAGCCCUGCGCCGUCACCACGCUGUCGUGCUAUCAAAACUCUCCCUCGACCCUCUAUUGGAUCAAGAGCUCGAGGGACGUCAUCGAGCUGAACGUGUGCUGAAGACUCAGGUGCUGUACGUUUGAUACUUGGGUUGGUUGGACCGUGAAGACAUUCGACUACAUCAACCGCGUUAACCUAAUGCUUCCUCUUUCGGUCUACAAGGGUACGUGGACACACUCCCCCCUCUCGUUGAUAUGCAUCUCCUAGAUAGAUCUUGCAUGAUCGUAGGAUUUUUUUUGAAAUUGCAUGCUACGUUCCCCAACAGUGGUAUCGGAGCCAGGUCUAUGCGUAGACGACAUGCACGAGUAGAACACAAAGAAUUGUGGGCGAUAAUAGUCAUACUGCUUACCACCAACGUCUUACUUUGAUUCGGCGGUAUUGUUGGAUGAAGCGGCCCGGACCGACAUUACAUGACCGCGUUCAUGAGACUAGUUCUACCGACGUGCUUUGCACAUAGGUGGCUGACGGGUGUCUAUUUCUCCAACUUUAGUUGAAUCGAGUUUGACUACGGCCGGUCCUUGUUGAAGGUUAAAACAACACACUUGACAAAAAAUCGUUGUGGUUUUUAUGCCUAGGUAAGAACGGUUCUUGCUAGAAGCCCGUAGCAGGCACAUAAAACUUGCAACAACAAAGUAGAGGACGUCUUACUUGUUUUUGCAGGGCAUGUUGUGAUGUGAUAUGGUCAAGACGUGAUGAGAUAUAAAUUGUUGUAUGAGAUAAUCAUGUUUUGUAACAGUUAUCGGCAACUGGCAGGAGCCAAAUGGUUGUCGCUUUAUUGUAUGAAAUGCAAUCACCAUGUAAUUACUUUACUUUAUCACUAAGCGGUAGCGAUAGUCGUAGAAGCAAUAGUUGGCGAGACGACAACGAUGCUACUAUGGAGAUCAAGAUGUCAAGCCGGUGACGAUGGAGAUCAUGACGGUGCUUUGAAGAUGGAGAUUGAAGGCACAAGAUGAUGAUGGCCAUAUCAUGUCACAUAUUUUGAUUGCAUGUGAUGUUUAUCUUUUAUGCAUAUUAUUUUGCUUAGUACGACGGUAGCAUUAUAAGAUGAUCCCUCACUAAAUUUCAAGGUACAAGUGUUCUCCCUGAGUAUGCACCGUUGCUACAGUUCGUCGUGCCGAGACACCACGUGAUGAUCGGGUGUGAUAAGCUCUACGUUCACAGACAACGGGUGCAAGCCAGUUUUGCACGUGCAGAAUACUCGGUUAAAUUUGACGAGCCUAGCAUAUGCAGAUAUGGCCUCGGAACACUGAAAACGAAAGGUCGAACGUGAAUCAUAUAGUAGAUAUGAUCUACAUAGUGUGCUCACCAUUGAAAACUACUUCAUCUCACGUGAUGAUCGGACAUGGUUUAGUUGAUAUGGAUCACGUGAUCAUUUAGAUGACUAGAGGGAUGUCUAUCUAAGUGGGAGUUCUUAAGUAAUAUGAUUAAUUGAACUUUAAUUUAUCAUCAACUUAGUACCUGAUAGUUUUUGCAUAUCUAUGUUAUUGUAGAUCAAUGGCCCGUGCUACCGUUCCCUUGAAUUUUAAUGCGUUCCUAGAGAAAGCUAAGUUGAAAGAUGAUGGUAGCAACUACAUGGACUGGGUCUGUAACUUGAGGAUUAUCCUCAUUGCUGCACAGAAGAAUUACAUCCUGGAAGCACCGCUAGGUGCAAGACCCGCUGUAGGAGCAACUCCGGACGUUAUGAACGUCUGGCAGAGCAAAGCUGAUGACUACUCAAUAGUUUAGUGUGCCAUGCUUUAUGGCUUAGAAUCGGGACUUCAAAGACGUUUUGAACGUCAUGGAGCAUAUGAGAUGUUCCAGGAGUUGAAGUUAAUAUUUCAAGCAAAUGCCCGAGUUGAGAGAUAUGAAGUCUCCAACAAGUUCUACAACUGCAAAAUGGAGGAGAAUAGUUCUGUCAGUGAACACAUACUCAGAAUGUCUGGGUACCAUAACCACUUGACUCAGCCGGGAGUUAAUCUUCCUGAUGAUAGUGUCAUUGACAGAGUUCUUCAAUCACUACCACUAAGCUAUAAAGGCUUCGUGAUGAACUAUAAUAUGCAAGGGAUGGAAAAAAACAAUUCCCGAGCUCUUCGCGAUGCUAAAGGCUGCGGAGGUAGAAAUCAAGAAGGAGCAUCAAGUGUUGAUGGUUAACAAGACCACUAGUUUCAAGAAAAAGGGCAAAGGGAAGAAGGGGAACUUCAAGAAGAAUAGCAAGCAAGUUGCUGCUCAAGGGAAGAAGCUCAAGUAUGGACCUAAGCCUGCAACUGAGUGCUUCUACUUCAAAGGAACUGGUCACUGGAAGCGGAACUGCCCCAAGUAUUUGGCGGAUAAGAAGGAUGGCAAAGUGAAAUGUAUAUUUGAUAUACAUGUUAUUUAUGUGUACCUUACUAAUGCUCAUAGUAGUGCAUGGGUAUUUGAUACUGGUUCUGUUGCUCAUAUUUGCAACUCAAAAUAGGUGCUACAGAUUAAAAGAAGAUUGGCUAAGGACGAGGUGACGAUGUGCGUGGGAAAUGGUUCCAAAGUCGAUGUGAUCGCCAUCGGCACGGUACCUCUACAUCUAACAUCGGGAUUAAUUUUAGACCUAAAUAAUGGUUAUUUGGUGCCAGCGUUGAGCAUGAACAUUAUAUCUGGAUCUUGUUUGAUGCGAGACGAUUAUUCAUUUAAAUCAAAGAAUAAUGGUUGUUCUAUUUAUAUGAGUAAUAUCUUUUAUGGUCAUGCACCCUUGAUGAGUGGUCUAUUUUUGUUGAAUCUCGAUUGUAGUGAUACACAUAUUCAUAAUAUUGAAGCCAAAAGAUGCAAAGUUAAUAAUGAUAGUGCAACUUAUUUGUGGCACUACCGUUUAGGUCAUAUUGGUGUAAAGCACAUGAAGAAACUCCAUGCUGAUGCGCUUUUGGAAUCACUUGAUGCUUGUGAACCAUGCCUCAUGGGAAAGAUGACAUAAGACUUCGUUCUUCGGAAUAAUGGAGCGAGCAACUGACUUACUGGAAAUAAUACAUACUGAUGUAUGCGGUCCGAUGAGUGUUGAGGCUCGCGGCGGGUAUCUUUAUUUUCUAACAUUCACAGAUGAUUUGAGCAGAUAUGGGUAUAUCUACUUAAUGAAACAUAAGUCUGAAACAUUUGAAAAGUUCAAAGAAUUUCAGAGUGAAGUGGAAAAUCAUCGUAACAAGAAAAUAAAGUUUCUACGAUCUGAUCAUGGAGGUGAAUAUUUGAGUUAUGAGUUUGGUCUUCAUUUGAAACAAUGUGGAAUAGUUUCGCAACUCAUGCCACCUGGAACACCACAGCGUAAUGGUUUGUCCGAACGUCGUAAUCAUACUUUAUUAGAUAUGGUGCGAUAUAUGAUGUCUCUUACCGAUUUACCGCUAUCGUUUUAGGGUUAUGCUCUAGAGAGGACUGCAUUCACGUUAAACAGGGCACCAUCUAAAUCCGUUGAGACGACACCAUAUGAACUGUGGUUUGGCAAGAAACCUAAGCUGUUGUUUCUUAAAGUUUGGGGCUGCGAUGCUUAUGUGAAAAAGCUUCAACCUGAUAAGCUCGAACCCAAAUCGGAGAAAUGUGUCUUCAUAGGAUACCCAAAGGAGAUUGUUGGGUACACCUUCUAUCACAGAUCCGAAGGCAAGAUAUUCGUUGCUGAGAAUGGAUCCUUUUUAGAGAAGGAGUUUCUCUCGAAAGAAGUGAGUGGGAGGAAAGUAGAACUUGAUGAGGUAAUUAUACCUUCUCCCGAAUUGGAAAGUAAUUCACCAUAGAAAUCAGUUCCAGUGAUUCCUACACCAAUUAGUGAGGAAGCUAAUGAUGAUGAUCAUGAAACUUCAGAUCAAGUUACUACCGAACCUCGUAGGUCAACCAGAGUACGACCCACACCUGAGUGGUACGGUAAUCCUGUUCUAGAGGUCACGUUACUUUACCAUGGCGAACCUACGAACUAUGAGGAAGCGAUGAUGAGGCCAGCUUCUGCAAAAUGGCUUGAGGCCAUGAAAUCUAAGAUGGGAUCCAUGUAUGAGAACAAAGUGUGGACUUUGGUUGACUUGCUCGAUGAUUGGUAAGCCAUAGAAAAUAAAUGUAUCUUCAAGAAGAAAACUGACACUGAUGGUAAUGUUACUAUCUACAAAGCUCGACUUGUUGCGAAAGAUUUUUGACAAGUUCAAGGAGUUGACUACGAUGAGACGUUCUCACCCGUAGCGAUGCUUAAGUCUAUCCGAAUCAUGCUAGAAAUUGCCGCAUUUUAUGAUUAUGAAAUUUGGCAAAUAGAUGUCAAAACUGCAUUCCUUAAUGGAUUUCUUAAAGAAGAGUUGUAUAUGAUGCAACCAGAAGGUUUUGUCGAUCCUAAAGGUGCUAACAAAGUGUGCAAGCUCCAGCGAUCCAUUUAUGGACUCGUCAGGCCUCUCGGAGUUGGAAUAUACACUUUGAUAGUGUGAUCAAAGCAUAUGGUUUUAUACAGACUUUUGGAGAAGCCUGUAUUUACAAGAAAGUGAGUGGGAGUGAAAGUGCUAGUUAUCGACUAGAGGGGGGGUGAAUAGGUGAUUUUUAUGAAAGUCUUCAAAACACGGGGGCUUUGAAGACAAACAGUAGAAAUGAUCCUAUUGAUAUGCAGCGGAAGGUAGACUGCACUACGAAAGCCAUAGUCAAGUAAGCAAUGAAGUGAAUGCACGAAGACUAUCAGUAACUAGGUAGUAUGGAUCGGGAUGGAAGACAGUAUGAAGCGAAACAGUAAACCAUCUUCACUCAGUGAAGUUAAUCAGAUCAUACAGGCAAGCAAUGACUCCACGAAGACAAACUCUAAAGUAAAGAGAAGUGAACGAUAGAAAUAGUAGCUUGGUGAAGACAAGGAUUUGGUAGACCAGUUCUAGUUGCUGUGACAACUGUACGUCUGGUUAGGGAGGCUGAGAUUUAACUCAGAAGACCACGUCUUCAUGUUAUUCCCUUUGAGCUAAGGACACACAGUCCUAUCCCAAUCACUCUGGUAAGUCUUCAAGGUAGACUUCCAAACCUUCACAGACUUCGUUCACUGGCGAUCCACAAUGACUCUUGGAUGCUCAGAAUGCGAUGCCUAACCGACUGGAGGAUUCACAGUCCUCAAGUGUAACAAGUUUUCAGAUCACGCAGACAGAAAUACUUCAGUGAUGCCUAACACUCUUUGGCUCUGGGUGUUUUGGGCUUUGUCCUCUCAAGGAUCUCUCUCUCAAAUGCUUCGGAGGUGGGUUGAUCUCAAACGACAAAAUCCAUGCAUUAACUCUAAGCAGCCACCAAUUUAUGGUGUGUGUGUGUGGGGGGGGGGGGGGGGGGCUAUUUAUAGCCAGGAGGCAACCGGACCUGAUUUGUCCAAAAUGACCCUGGGUCACUAAGGAACUGACACGUGUCCAAUGGUCAGAUUUCAAACACACGCGGCAGCUUGACUUGGGCUACAAGUGACGCUGACUCACCCAGCUAUGGAUAAGAUUUUCUCUCAUUGUCUUCGCUCGAAGACAUAGGAUUUGGUUGAGCAUGACAUCAGUCACUCUGACUUUGUUUACUUGGACCCCACUUAACAGUACGGUGGUUCCUAUGACUCAACAAAAGUAGAAAAGGAAACUACGAAACAACUAUGUCUUCGCACUCCAUAGUCUUCAUGUGAAUGUCUUCUCAUGUCAUAAUCUUCACUGUGAAUAUCUUCACAGACCACCAUUGUGUUCAAUUUCUUCACACAUUUUUAGGGGUCAUCUCUGGUAGGUAAACCGAAUCAUUAAGGGACUACUACCUGUGUUAUCCUGCAAUUCUCACAAACACAUUAGUCCCUCAACCGAGUUUGUCAUCAAUACUCCAAAACCAACCAGGGGUGGCACUAGAUGCACUUAGAAUCUCCCCCCAUUUUGGUGAUUGAUGACAAACAGGUUAAAGUUUUCAACGGGGAUAAAAGUAUGUGAAAGUUAAGGAUUAAGGCAUUGUCUUCAUAAGUAGCAGAAGGCUCCCCUUGAAGAUGUGCAUAUAAGUAGUUUGCUUUUGAAUGCAAAUGCACAUGGCAGGUUUUACUUUGUGGAGAUCCUCUUCGACUUAUGAAGACAACAUAAAGAGAUAAUGAAGAUAAUGACAUGCAUAAUGAAAAAUGGACGUCUACGGAAUGACUUCAUGCGGAAUUUAUCAUCGCAUCACAAGGUAGCAGAAUAAGUAGCAGACGACCAUCGAGUUUAAGUGUUACAACUCAAAGAACCAAAUGUUUCAAAAGACGAGAGUUGUAAAGGCUUAGAAAAAUAAAGCAACCACCCAUAAGGACCCGCUUGAAGACUAUCAACUCAUAAGCUUCUCCCCCUUGUGUCAAUAAGGACCAAAAAGGUUUGAAGACAUAGAGUAUCUACUCAUUCCCAUCAGGAGUAGAUGAAGGAGCAGGGUCUACGUUGGAGUUCGGUGGUGCAGACGGGCCUGAUGCAGUGUCGAGAUGCAGUGUAGCCAUGGUCGGUGAAGUGGCGUCGUCUUCUUCAUCGACGACUCUCGCAACAACAGUUGCAGCCGAAGAUGAAUGCUUAGAAUCUUCAAUUGAGGGAGUGCGGCGCCAGCUUGCAUUUCGUGGAGGCCUAGAAUCAAACUUGAAGCCCUCCGUGAAGCCAUCUUCGUGAAGAUCGUCUUCAGGACAUAGCAGUGUGAGACUCUUCUAGGACCGCCGACAGGCUUCAUGGGCAACGAACGAGUUCUUGGUGGCCAAGUUUCAAAUGUGAUUGACAUCCACCAAGAUACUCUGCAUCUGACGCUUUAGCCAGUCAUGAUGCUUAUCCUGUUUCUGGUCCAGGGCCACAAGAAGCUCUCGGUCAUUAAGGACACGGGAACGCUUCCGAGGCCUUUGGGCAACCAUACUUGCUGUGGCUUCAGUGUUGGCACGAUGUGGCACUCUCAUAUUCCCAGCAAGAGGAUAAGUGGGGGUUGCAGCAUUGGGAACAAGAAUUCCCUCCAUUGGUUGCGAGAAGCUAUGGUGUUCAGCAUUCCAAAGAUGUAUAGGCUGCUUGGCUGGCUUGGGAUAGAUGUCUUCAAUGGAUAGAUCAACCUUAGGUAGACAGACAAGAUGGUUGUGCAUUGAGGGCUGAUAGUCAAUAGUAGAAUGGAGCUUGAUCAGCCGCAUCACCCAUGGGGCAUAAAACUUGAGGCCAAACAGAUCAAUCCCUGAUGCAGCAAGUUCUCUAAUGAAGAAGUCCUGAGUAUUGAAUCUGAUGCCAUGGAUGAUAUAGAAUACCAAAGUCUCCAUGGCUCCUUCUAGUUUGGCUUCAGAAGAGUGUCCCUUGAUUGGCCAGAGAGUAUGCCUCAGAAUACGUUAAACAGUGCGAGGCAAGUACUCGAGGUCCUUGACAAAGAACUCUCUGGGAUAUUCAGCAUCAAAAGGCAAUGACUUCACCAUACUUAGCAUCUCACUCAUAUUUGGCUCGGGCCUCUAGAAGAUACUCUGCAGUUCAUCGCGAUGACGCUGACAACCAGGCUCGUAGAACUCGCCUGGAGUGGGCAGGGAAGUAAGCUCGAUGAUGUCUUGAGCUUUGGCUUCAUGAUGCACAUCACCUGUCAUCCACUCAAGAAUCCAUGUCUUCGGAUCCCUGUUGUAGUCGCGAAUAUGAAGUGUUGCAUAGAACUGCAGCAGAAGCUCUUCAUUCCAGUGCUCUUUGUCUGUCACAAAAAGUAGAAGACCAACAUCUCUGAAGCAGUCAAGUGCUUCUUCAAGAUAGGGCAGCCCAGCAAUAGCUUCACAGUCAAGACACAUGUGUGUAAAGAUCCGCUCUUGAUUGUAUAGAAUGCAGGAGUAAUAGCUGCGCUGCUGAUGGCUCCAGAAGCGAUCAGAAGAGAUCUUUGGCUUCGAAUAUGGAUUCUUGGCACUGUCAAAGAAGGUGUUGUGGGCUCUGAAGCUGUGCACGUUGAAAGAACCCAUUGUGGUGGCAGCACCUGGAAGCCUUGGCAGCCGUGGCUUGAGCUUCUGAACAUGUGGUCUCUGCUCCACAUGAUAGUCAUAUUGUGGUCCGGGAGCAGAGGGUGGAACCAUGACAUGCCAUCUAACUGUGACAAGCUGCCCAUGAUCGUAGGCCUAUUCAAUGGUGUGAGGCCUUGGAGGUGGAACAUUGGCUUCAGCUUCCACAUUGACUUCAGGCUCCUCAUGAGCUUCAGGCACCACAUUGUCUUCAGCCAUGACAGUGUCACUGACUUCAACAUCGUUGUUUGUGGCAGCCUCAAUGUUUUCAACCUCCGUUUGUUCAAUAACAGGAGGGUCAGGCACAGUCACAUUCUCCUCGAGAAUGACUGGAUCAAUAGCAGGGGGUGUGGCAACUCUUUCUUCUUCUCUUUCUCCUUGAUCUUCAUCGGCUGAUGCAGUCGGAAUGUCUUCAGUAGCUUUAGCUUCAGACUGGGAGACAUUCACGAUAGGGGUGACUUCAGGAAACACUUGACGUGCUACUGAGCUUUGGUGCACUUCUCCUUCUGGAAUGCUCGACAUGGUGACCUGUGGUUUAGGGCCUUUGCGAAGCCUGUGGAAAGCGGGCGACGCCUGUGGCGAUGGAGAGGUUUGCACCAUGUAGUUGCCGUCGUCAAGCACCACAGUGGUGACUUGAGGCGGUGGAGUUUUGGAUGUUUCAUCAUGGAUGGGGGUGUCCUGCUGAGGGCGCUCGGCCCAUGAAUCAUCCUGAGCAAUUGGCGUCAAGGGACGACCAAUGCUGAUGAGUUCACUGUUCGUAAGAAUAGGCGAUGAUAUCGACUGGUGCUCGAGUUGAGGAAGGACUACAUCAUCUUCAACAUUGUCAUCACGACCAAUGUCUUCAGCUGUGGUGGGGUCAAUAGCUAGAACUUCUUCAUCUUCAGGAGCCUCUGUGGAAGUAGGCUCAUGGAUUACAAGGCGACGCUCUUGGUUGGUGGAGGUUGGACGGGCAACAGAAAUGGGCUCAACAACAAGGGGCUCAGAGGCCGCAGCACACUCUUUCUUUGAAGACUUUGUCUUCAAUUUAUUAUUAGAUGGGGCCUCAUCAAAGGUGUUCUUGUGCUUGCGUUUCCUGGCAUCAGCUUCAGCUAUCCUUCUCUUCUUCAGUUCUGAGGCUGCUGAGGGGACCUUAGGCUUCAAGCCUAUCAUGCCGACAGGGAAGACAAUGCGAGGUUCUUCUUGCCUUGAUGCUUUAGUUCGGGCCACAACCGACUUCUUCGUUGGCUUGGCAGCCAUCCUGGGGUCGAUGCCAGGGCGCCCAAGACCUUUGCGCUUUUCAGCUUCAUUGUGGGCUUGAACGCAUUUGUCUAUGAAAUACUUCAUGCGCUCUCGUGAGCCUUUGGCUUCUUCUCUCUUCUUGUGAAACUCUUGAGAUUAUGCAUCAUCUCUUUGAAGAUUUGAACAUCUGCCACGCUGAGCUUGGCCAUGUUCUUCUUGAAGUGUGCCUUCUCAUAGUCAAUCUUGUUCUUCAGUUCGAUGAUUUUCUGAGCCAUGACCAGUUCAUUGGCAAUGGCUCCAUGUAAAGUGACGCUGAUGUCCACAGGCAGCUGAAGAUCAUCAAUACUGAUGCUCUAGUCAUCGAACCACUCAUCUAUGAAGUUGUUCAGAAUGUCAACAUCAAAGAGGGGCAGAUCGUUGAAGAUCUCCACCUCUUGCUUGUUCUUGAUUAGCUGCUCAAGGGCAUCAUCACCAAGAUCUUCAUCACUGGACAGAUCAAUGGUGUCUUCCUCGUUCCUUAGAACGAUAGCAGGAGUCAAUUCAUGCCCAGAAAUCUUCUUGGGCUUCUUGGUUUUCUUGGUCUUCUCGACCUUCUUGGAGACACGAGACAGGUCUUCAGACUGCACAUUGGCUUCAGGAGGUGCAGUGGCCAACGGCUUCAGUGUCGAAGCUUUUGGUGUGGCAGAGGGCUUCAAAGCUUUUGUCUUCUUUGUUUUCUGCUUUGGUGGUGAUGGCGCAUCUUCAGAGUCCGCGUCAUCAGCAGAUUGCUCCACCGUAGCCCUCUGAGCAACGAUGUGUGAGAGAAGGCCAUCAAAGUUGGCGAAGGGGCUGGUGACAUUUGGAUUGGCAUCGUGUGUGCCUUCAGCCCUUGGAGCAGAUGGACCAGGGUUGAAGUUGAGUCCCAGCUCCUUCUUGUGCUUGGUAGCUGACUCCUUGGCAAACUGAUAGUUGUGCUUGAACAGAUUGUGUUCAUGACACCAUAACAAGGAUGAUGGGUCAGCAGUGUCAGGCUUCGGUCCUCGGACCAUGCAUGGGUAGAAGCCUUGAGCAAUGGCUUCAGGCUUCGACUUUGGCUGCAGAUUCCUGUAUAGGAUAUCUCCCCAUGGUCGCUUGAUAGCAUUCUUCUUUGCAUAUUCUGGGCUCACAAAGUUGUACUUGAACCAUUCUUCUUCCCAAUAUCUUCGAAUCCAUUGGAUUUGGGUCUUGCGUUGGCCGUAGCUUUCCUUUGGAUCUGACUUGUACAGUUCAAACAGAUCGAGAGGUAAAUCCUUAGCACUAUUUCCACGGUGCUGCCUGCCACCUUUCUUGGCAGAUUUCUCAGUGGCCAUUAUAUUCAGAAUGAAUGGCUUCAGAAUAGUGAAUGGCUUCCUUCUGCUGGUCAGACAAGAGCUGGCUUUAGGGGAGUGUAUAUGCUACUGUAAGAACUCUGCAAAUGAAUGCAGACUAUGAGAACCAAGGGAUUCUCCCACAGACAUGUACCUGUGACAUCAUUACGGUGCGAGGGAAGGGGAAGAGGUCAUAUGCAUUCUCAGAAGAUUUUGAAGAUAAAUCGGUUUGAAGACAUUGACCUCAUAGAGCGAAGACAUUCACUUAUUUGAAGAGAGUUGGUUCCAGAUUUGUACGAAUCCAUGAAUAAGUACAAGUGAGGAAUCUAACUAGUUAUGAAGCAUAAGUGAAUAUUCUUAGCAUGCUAUGAGAUGUAGAUAAGGAUGGAUCCAUAUUUGGAAGUGAAGAAGCCACUUUUGGUUGAAGUGGAUGGAUUUGAAAGAUCUAAAAGGCAGUAAAAAGUGAGAUUUUAAUUACCCCGGACGAACCGCUAGACGAGGUAGAGGUAUAGGUUGAGCAGUUCAAUCUCUCAUGCCCUAACUUGGCGACAGAAGACACCUACGGCGGCGGCAGAGAGGACGAGGUCACGGCCGGCGUGAGGACAACGUUGAAGACGUCGCGGCAGCUAAGUGCUUCGUCUCCGGUGUCAACUUGAGCUAGCGGAGGCUUUAGGGUUUGUGUGAGGUGGCAAGGUGGAAGAAUAGAUAAUGAUCGCGGUGAGUGUGUGUUUAUAAGGACAUGGACGACACAUCAUAAUUACGCAGGUGCCCCUGGCAGUUCACAUCUGAAGGACACGUGGCUUGCAUGCAACCCAUUGGAAUCUAUUCCAUGUUCCCACGCACGCCUGGAUUGUCGGGCGGUCAUUCCGGCUUCUACGGUAUUUAGGCAACAAGGAUAUAGCAUUAAAAAUAGAUUUAAGUGUUUGUCUCUUUGUCUUCUGCUGACAAGGACUCAUAGAAGACAAUCGACAGGUUUCAAUAGAAUGCAUAUGAUUUAGAUAGAUAGAGUUUGAGAUAGAAGCACAGAGGGGGUUAGGGUCCGAUCACAUUCACUUAGAUCAAGAGAAGAUUCAGGCAUGAAUACAUAGCUAUAAGUGAAUGUUGUAGAGGACAGAACACGAAUAUAUAUAUCAGACCAACUCAACAUUGCGAAGAUAAACCUCGAAGGUAAAUUAAUGUUGAAGACAAACCAAAUGUGAAGACUAUGCAAUCAUGACGCCACAUGAAACACUUCAAAAAGAUUUUGGUGGUGGCGUUACCCACCAUAUAGGAAGUAUUAGAUCCAGACACGAUGCACAAUUAUCGUGUCGCUCCGAAGUCAAAUUCCGCGUUAAUGUAUUCACACUUAGAGUGUAUGUCUUCAUUGAUUAAAGAUAUACGUUACUUUGUGUGUUGCACAUCUAAGUCAUCAACAUGCAUAAGCGUUAGGAUGUGUGUCCAAUUAUAGGACAUUUGAGGACUCUAAGAUAUUUAGCUCACACCGCAACUUGCAAAACCUUUUCUCAUCCAAGCGCUUUGUGAAGAUAUCUGCCAAUUGCUCUUCAGUGUUGACGUGAAUGAUAUCAAUAUCUUCCUUCAUGACAUGAUCUCUGAGAAAGUGAUGACGGAUAUGAAUGUGCUUUGUCUUCGAGUGCUGAACUGGGUUGUUGGCAAUCUUGAUGUCGCUUUCAUUGUCGCAGUAGAGUGGCACAUGCUUUAGAUGGAUACCAUAGUCCUUGAGAGUUUGCUUCAUCCAUAGAAGCUGAGCGCAGCAUGAUCCAACAUCAAUGUAUUCAGAUUCAGUAGUGGAGAGGGAUACACAGUUCUGCUUCUUUGAAGACCAAUAGACAAGAGAUCGUCCAAGAAAGUGACAUGUGCCUGAUGUGGACUUGCGAUCAACUUUGUCACCAGCAUAAUCAGCAUCUGAGAAUCCAACUAGAUCAAACUCUGAGCCCUUUGGAUACCAUAAUCCUAGUGUUGGGGUGUAAGCCAAAUAUCGAAGAAUUCGCUUCAUAGCUAAGUGAUGUGAUUCCUUUGGUGCCGCUUGGAAUCGGGCACACAUGCAAACGCUAAGAAUUAUAUCUGGCCUAGAUGCACAUAAAUAGAGUAAAUAACCAAUCAUGGAGCGGUAUACCUUUUGAUCAAACUCUUUACCAUUGUCGUCGGGGCCCAUAUGACUUUUGGUUGGCAUUGGCGUCGUGUAUCCUUUGCAUUCUUGCAUUCCAAACUUCUUCAGGCAAUCUUUGAGGUAUUUUUCUUGUGAUAUGAAGAUGUCGUUGCUUUGCUGACGGAUUUGAAGACCAAGGAAUAAUUUCAGCUCACCCAUCAUGGACAUUUGAUAUUGCUCUUGCAUCAUGUGUCCAAACUCAUCACUGUAUUUCUUGUAUGUGCAGCCGAAGAUAAUGCCAUCCACAUAGAUUUGGCAUACAAACAAUUCUCCAUCAUAUGUCUUCGUGAAGAGUGUGGGAUCCAAGGAACCAGGUUUGAAGCCUUUUCUCUUCAGGAAGUCUUUGAGUGUGUCAUACCAAGCACGAGGGGCUUGUUUGAGGCCAUACAGUGCCUUGUUGAGCUUGUAUACCAUGUCAGGACGCUUUGGGUCUUCAAAACCAGGUGGUUGUGCAACAUACACUUCUUCUUCAAUUUUUCCAUUCAGGAAGGCACUCUUCACAUCCAUUUGGUACAGAAGGAUGUCGUGAUGGUUGGCAUAGGCCAGCAGUAUGCGAAUGGCUUCAAGCCUAGCCAUAGGAGCAAAUGUUUCAUCAAAGUCAAUCCCUUCUACUUGAGUGUAACCUUGAGCAAUGAGACAAGCUUUGUUUUGGACAACUUGACCAUGCUCAUCUUGUUUGUUGCGGUAGAUCCAUUUGGUGCCAAUGAUAUUAUGCUUGCAAGGAUUAGGAUGCUUAACUAGUUCUUACACAUUGUUCAGCUUGAACUGUUGAAGUUCUUCUUGCAUCGCUUGAAUCCAUUCAGGUUCCAUGAAGGCUUCAACAACUUUUUUGGGUUCAGAUAUAGAGACAAAUGCAAAGUGCUCAUAGAAAUUUGCUAGCUGUGUUGCUCUUGAACGAGUGAGUGGACCAGGUGGAUUGAUGCUAUCGAUUAUCUUCUCAAUCUGCCUUCAUUUGCAACACGAGGAUGAACUCGUCGAAGACUUUGCUCUUGCUGAUCAUUGUCUUCAUCAGCGACAUUGACUUUAGGACGAGCUGCGUCUUCAGGUUGAUUAGGUGCAGAAAUGACGAGUUCUUCUUCAGCCUGAGCCUCUGAGGGUAUGAUUUCUCCAGUACCCAUAAGCUUGAUGGAUUCACUCUAUGAGACUUCAUCUAGCACAUUUGGCAGGUGCUCUCUUUGUGAGCCAUUAGUUUCAUCGAACCGCACAUCCACAGUUUCAACCACUUUAUAGUGAAAGAGGUUGAAGACUCUAUAGGAGUGUGAAUCCUUACCGUACCCAAGCAUAAAACCUUCAUGUGCUUUCGGUGCAAAUUUGAAGUGUGAUGCGGAUCCUUGAUCCAGCACCUAGCACCAAAUACUCUGAAGUAGCUGACGUUUGGCUUCUUACCAGUUAGUAGCUCAUAUGAUGUCUUCUUUAGAAGCUUGUGAAGAUAGACACGGUUGAUGAUGUGGCAUGCAGUAUCAAUGGCUUCAGGCCAGAACUUCCUUGGUGUCUUGUACUCAUCAAGCAUCGUCCGUGCCAUCUCAAUGAGGAUUCUAUUCUUGCGCUCCAUGAUGCCAUUCUGCUGAGGUGUGUAUGGAGCUGAGAACUCAUGAGUGAUGCCCAAUGUAUCAAGAUAAGUGUCGAGGCCAGUGUUCUUGAAUUCUGUGCUGGUGUCACUUCUGAUGUGCUUGAUCUUGAUGCCAUAGUUGGUCAUGGCACGAUUGGCGAAUCGUCUGAAGAUAUCCUGCACUUCAGUCUUAUAGAGGAUUAUAUGCACCCAUGUAUAUCUUGAGUAAUCAUCAACGAUAAUGAAGCCAUAGAGGCAAGUAGUGGUAGUAAGGGUAGAGUGGUGAGUAGGACCAAAUAAGUCCAUGUGAAGCAGCUCGAAGGGACGGGAAGUUGUCAUGAUUGUCUUCAAGGGAUGCUUGGCCCUAGUCAUCUUUCCAGCUUCGCGGGCACCACAUAGAUGAUCCUUCUUGAACUUGACGCCCUCGAUGCCUACGACAUGCUUCUUCUUCGCGAGAGUGUACAAGUUCCUCAUGCCGGCAUGCCCUAGCCUCCGAUGCCAGAGCCAGCACUCUGAAGUUUUUGCUAGUAGACAUAUGGCCAACUGUGGACCUGCUGAGAAAUCUACCAUGUACAUAUCGUCUUUUCGAUACCCUUCAAAGACUAGAGACUUGUCAGAUUCCAUAAGAACAAGGCAAUGAUAUUUUCCAAACAUCACAAUCAUGUUCAGAUCACAAAGCAUUGAGACAGACAUUAAGUUGAAACCAAGGGAUUGAACAAGCAUCACUUUAUCCAUGUGCUGAUCCUUUGAGAUUGCAACUCUACCUAGACCCAAUACCUUGCUUUUACCAGUUUCAACAAAUGUGAUGUGACUCUUGUCAAAUGGACGUAGGGUUGAAUCCAUGAGAAGACUUUGAUCACCAGUCAUGUGGUUAGUGCAUCCACUGUCCAUAAUCCAUUCUGAAGCCUUUGGUGUCAUACCAUACAGUGCAGUUUGGGGGAUAGGCUUCACCAAGGGUAUUGUUAAGCAUAAACAUUUGACGAACAAGCGGAUUAUGAAAGUUCAGGUCUUGGUUAGGAUAAAUAGGAUGUUUGUCAAGGAAUCCUGGGACGAAAUACAUCAUAAGGCCAUUUGGACAUUUUAUCUUGCGUCCCACAAGAUGUUUUAGGUCCCCAGCAUAAGCAUCAUAUGCCUUUGAUUUCCGGCUGGAGACCUUUCCCUGCAAAAGAGAGUUAAUUUUUUUAACCACCCACAUCUUUAGGGGUGGCUUAGAAGCAACGAGUCUAAGUGCAGCAUCUGAGAACUUUGUCUUUG
rnacentral:lncRNA from 1 species